rnacentral:lncRNA from 1 species
ACUUUCUAUAUAUCUGUCUCCAUCCAAUCAAAGACGUCCAUGCCAUAGAGAAUCAGGCUCGGCAAAAACGAGACUAGGGACCAUGCUCCCCGCUUUCUUCCUGUGGUUACUAUUAGAACACAAGCCAAGGAACUCAAAACCACAACACAAGCACCCUUUAUUUACUAGUUUUGGAGUUUUCGCCCUUUGCUUCCGGCUUUGAUGAAGGUAAAUAGUCAAAAAAGUUCCCCGUAGAACGCGAGCGUUGAGGCUUUCAUCGAAACAAAGAGAGAGGCCCAGCUGGUGCUUUUUUCUGUGUUAGCCAGGUGAAAGGCUUGCUUGACUAUAAAUAGAUUAGUGUAUUAAGUAAGGAACUACUAAAACCUCUAUUCCCGUUUUUGGGCUAUAAGACUCUUAGCUUCCAGCGAGCUAGGUGCAUAAGCUUUUUUUACUACAAAAACGAUUCCUCCCCCGGCAAAAAGUGGUCCGCCAACUGAACUUGCCUUGUUGUGAUAGGGAGGGGGAGCCGGUUCCGCCUCCGACUGAGGAGCAAAAUUUCAAUCGAUACGCGGUAGCUUCGACGAGCUGGGACCGCAGUGGUGUACCCAUGCCCUUUCAUGCAUAUGUUUUUCGUCAACCAUACUAUUAGUGAGGCGAGGCGAUCUUCAGAUACUUCGAGGUAUAUCUUCUGCGUCCGCAGAUCAAGGAGCCCCUCUCUAUUCCCUCUUUUAAUUAUUGACCUUUUGUACUUUCUUUUGAAUACACAUUCUAGAGCUAGACCACUAUGUAGUAUAUAAAGCUUGUGAUUUCACGAGAUAACGAGUUUUGGGAGUUGUUUCAGUUUUGAGAGUGUGUAUAUGUAUAUGCCGAGGGGCAUAUUAAUAAUUUAAAUUAUGUUAAUCCGCAGUUUUUGCUAGUUUCAUAUUUCAUUUUCUUUUUCCGUAAUUUGUUAGGCUUACCGAGUCGUAAAGACUAGGUGCCAUCACAAAAGUUCAUGGAGACUGAACUUGGGUCAUGAUAAGAGAUUGAACUUGGGUCAUCAUAAUUUUGUAUCAGAGCUCUAGGUUUAUAGGAGUCAUGAAUCACAAGCCAGUUUAUUAGAGUCUCGUAGAUCGGUAGGGAGAUGUCUGUACUAUGUACCUAUUAGGAAAAUUCCACUUUAUUUGAUUUACGUCGUGCGCGAUUUUUGAUAUGAAAAUUCUAAGCUUCUUUCUUCUAUUCUCUCACAAAUGGUGAGGACACGUGUUACCGGAGAUGACAAGGCACCCGCGCCCCCUACUAGUGCCGUCAAUGGUCGGAUCUGGGGUGGAGGCAGAGGAUACGCAUGUGGUGCAGCCAGGGAACCUUUGUGAGCUGCCAGCAAUGAGCCACCAGCAGCUCCAGCCGAAGCCCAGACACCUGAUACGCCUACUACUACUAUCAUUCCAGCUCUUUAGGAGACCAUUGCUCACUACGUGAGCACGUACACAACUCAAGCUCAGGCAGAGUUGAUUCCCAUUGUUGCAGCCACAUCCAAGGCUGGAGAAGGAGCACAGACUCCCGCCACACGCACUUCUGAGUAGCACGUCUGGGUUGAUCAUAUCCCAGAGGUUAUACCGGUACUACGUGUGGUCCUAAUUUAGCUUGAGGACAGGGCACUAGCUUUUCACGAUGAGCAACUGAGGCUUGAGAGGUUUAAAAAGUACAACCAUCCUGUAUUCAAUGGCAUAGCAUCAGAUUAUGCUCUAGGAUUUUCUGAAGAGUGCUACCGUAUCUUUUGCACAAUGGGUAUAUCAGGAUCGAGUGUGGUUUUUUUCACUGCCUUCCAGCUUCAAGGAGCAGCCUAUUAGUGGUGCGUACUUUUCAGUGUGAAAAUCCAGCUGAGGUCGCUUCCCUUGCUUUGACCUAGUUUUCAGAUAUGUUCUUGAAUAAGUUAGUUCCUCAGAGCCUUAGGAACGCAUGCACGUAGAGUUUGAGCAUUUUCUAUAGGGUACUGUGACCGCGUUAGUGUGUACUGUCCAUUUCACUAACUUUGUUAGGCAUCACUUGCCUUGGUUUCUAUAGUUUGUGAGAGAUUUUUCUAGUUUAUUGAGUAACCUAUUCCCAGCAUCAAGCCUAGCAUGGCUCGGAGUUGGAUAGGGAUAUUCCUUAUCACCAGGUGGUAAGCAUUGCUAGAAGAUUAGACGGUAUGCAUGCUAAGGAUAGAGAGGAGCGGGAGGCCAAAAGGUCUCGAGAGUUGGGCUAUUAUUCUAGUGCCCAAAGCCCCAGCUGUAGUUCGUCAUGAUAUGGGUCAUUUGAGUCACCACGUUCAUUCAUCUCUUAUGUUAGCCAGUGGUAUUCCAACUCCUCAUAGACCUAAGGAGCAUUAUUAUGCACCUUUAGAAUCUAGUGCGCCUCCUACGUUGGGUGUUUUCAGUGGUCAGUCCAGUAGAUUUGGCCCAAGCUAGUCACAGCCGGCACAUCCUACUAGAGCUUAUUUUGUGUGUGGCGACACAUGCUAUAUGGUGACAAAUUACCCCAAACUCAGGAGGGGCACUCUUCCACAGACUUCUCAACCACAGCAUGCCCUGUAGAGUUCCCAAGCUGAGUACAACACCAAUUUUUUCCCCACAUGCCCAUCCAACUAGAGGUGGAGGUCGGGGAGGUAGACGUUUCCCUACAGGGAGAGGCCAAGAAAUAUAUUAUUCCCUUCAUGCCUGUAUGGAGGUUGUCGCCUCCAAUUCUGUUAUCACAUGCAUUUUCCUAGUUGGUAAUAGAGAUGGAUCAAUUUUAUUCUAUCCAAGAUCCAAUUAUUCUUAUCUGUCCUCUUAUUUUGCCCCGCAUUUUGGCAUAUCUCGUUAUUCUUUGAGUUCCCCAGUUUAUGUUUCUACUAUUGUGGGAGAUUAUCUUGGUGUAGACCACUUUUAUCGUUCAUGUUUGGUUGCUCUUAGUGGUUUUAAGACCAGAGCCAAUAUAUUAGUGGUUAGCAUGGUAGAUUUCGAUGUCAUCUUUUGUAUGGACUGGUUGUCGCCCGAUUAUGUUAUUCUUGAUUGCCACGCCAAAACCGUGAUGCUGUUAUGCUAGGUGUACCGUGAGUUGGGUGGAGGGGUACUUUUGAUCAUUCUCGCAGUAGAGUUAUUUCUUUCCAUAAGGCCUAGCGAAUGGUUGAAAAGGGGUGUGACGCGUAUGUAGCCUAUGUGAGAGAUAUUAGUAUUGAUACCCAUACAGUUUAUUUAGUACAAAUAGUACGAGACUUUCCUGAUAUGUUUCCAGUUGACCUUCAGGGUAUGCCACUUGAUAGAGAUAUUGAUUUUUGCAUUGAUUUGUUUCAAGGAACUCAGCCCAUUUAUGUUCCUCCGUGUCUUCUAUGGCCCCUCCUUUGUUGAAUGAGUUGAAGGAUCUGAGUUGCAAGAAUUUCUAGAUAAGGGUUUUAUUUAGCCAAGUGUACCACCUUGGGGUGCUCCUAUCUUGUUUGUGAAGAAAAGAUAUUUCUAUGCGUAUGUGCAUUUGUUAUUGCCAGUUGAUCAUAGUUAUAGUGAAGAAUCGUUACCCUUUUCCUUGUAUGGAUAAUUUGUUUGAUUAGUUAUAGGGUGCACAUGCGAUUUUUGAGAAUGACUUGUGUUCAGGUUACCGUCAGUUAAAGAUUCGGGAGCCAGAUAUCCCGAAGACUACUUUUAGGACAUGGUAUGGUCAUUACAAAUUCCUUAUUAUGUCAUUUUAGUAGACUAACGCCCCAACAAGCUUCAUGAAUUUGACAUAAAGUUUAUUCCGGCCAUAUCUUGACUCGUUCAUCAUUGUCUUUAUUGAUGAUAUUUUUGUAUACUCCUAGAGUCGGGAAGAUCAUGAACAGCACCUGAGAACAAUGCUUCCGACUUUGAGAGAAAAGAAAUUAUAUGCAAAGUUCUCAAAAUAUGGGUUUUGGUUGGGUUCCUUGAAUUAUUGGUCACGUGGUAUCGACUAACGGGAUAAUGGUGGAUCCGAUAAAAGUGGAAGCAGCGUAGAGUUUUCCCAGACCGUCCUCAACUGUAGAGAUCCGCAAUGUUCUUGGCUUGGUGGGUUAUGACCAUGAAUAUUUUGAGAUAUUUUCAUCUACUGUAGCACCUAUGACCAGGCUAACCUAGAAGGGUGCUCCAAUCUAGUUGACGGAAGGGCUUUAGGGGAGCUUGUAGAGGCUUAAAACAAGUUUGACUAUAGCUCUAGUAUUGAUAUUUCCUAUAGGUUUGGGGUUUUAUAUUUUCUAUUGUGAUGCCUCGAGGAUUAGACGGUAGGGUGAUUGCCUAUACAUCUAGAUAGUUGAAGGUACAUGAGAAGAAUUAUAUUGUCCAUGAUCUCGAGUUAGCUGUUAUUGUUCACGCCUUGAAGAUCUUGCAUCAUUAUUUGCACGGUAUUUCUUGUGAGAUCUAUAUUGAUCACCUCAGUUUUCAGCAUUUGUUCAAGCAAAAUGACCUAAAUUUGUGCUAGAGGAGGUGGUUAGGGCAGCUGAAGGACUAUGAUAUCAUUAUUUUGUAUCACUCGGGCAAGGAAAUUAUGGUGGCUGAUGCUUUGAGUCGCCGGACGGAGAGUUUGGAGAGUCAGGCUUAUUUACCAUCAGUAGAGAGGCUAAUGGAGAUGGAUAUUAAGGGCUUAGCCAUCAAGUUUGUAAGAUACGACCGGGUUCUAGCUUCUAUGAUUUCUCGGUCAUCCUUAUGUGACUGUAUCAGAGAGUGUCAGUUUUAUCACCCUCAUUUGCUUGUCCUUAAGGACAAUGUUCUGCAGAGUGAUGCAAAAGAUGUGACCACUGGUGAUGACACGGUAUUGAGGAUGUAGGGCCAUGUAUGUAUACUCAAUAUUGAUGAGCUUCGAGAGUUGACUUUAGAGGAUACCCAUAAUUAGCCGUAUUCCAUCCAUUCGGGUGCCAUAAAGAUGUAUCAGGAUUUGAGAUAACACUAUUGGUGGAUGGCGGAUGAAGAAAGAUAUAGUUUUGUUUGUAGUUCGGUGCCUUAACUAUCAGCAGGUGAAGUGCAAGGACCAGGGACCAAGUGGUUUGCUUCAGCAGAUAGAUAUUCCAUAGUGGAAGUAGGAGCAGAUCACCAUGGACAUCGUAGUUGCACUCCCACAGACUUUGAGGAAGUUUGAUUCCAUUUGGGUGAUUGUGGAUCGGCUGACCAAGUUGAUGUAUUUUAUUCAUCUAUGUACUACCUAUUCUUCGGAGAACUAGGUGGAGAUUUAUAUUCGGGAGAUUGUUCGUCUACAUGGUAUUCUAACUUCUAUCAUUUUAGAUCGAGGUACUUAGUUCAAAUCAUGGUUCUGGAGGGCCGUGCAAUAAAAGUUGGGUACGCGAGUUGAGUUGAGCACAACAUUUCACCCCCAUAUAGGCAGACAGUCCGAGCACACUAUUUAGAUUCUUGAGGAUAUGCUCUAUGUGUGUGAUAUGGAGUUUGGAGAUUUUUGGGAUUAGUUCUUGCCACUGGAAGAGUUGCCUACAACAACAGUUAUCAGUCCAGCAUUCAGAUGGAACCGUAUGAGGCUCUGUAUGUUGGGCGGUAUAGAUCCCCAGUGGGUUGGUUUGAUCCAGUAAGGCUAGAUUACUGGGCACAGACUUGGUUCAGGAUGCCUUGGAGAAGGUUAAAAUGAUUCAGGAUAGACUCCAUACAGCCUAAUGCAGAUAGAAGAGUUAUGCGGAUUGGAAGGUUUGUGAUGCUUCGGAAGUAUCACGAUGAUCCAUCACACAUGUUGGAUUUCAGUUCAGUACUAUUGGACAAAGCUUUAUCUUAUUUUGAGGAGCCUAUGGCGAUAUUGGAUUGGCAAGUUCGGAAGCAGAAGUAAAAGAACAUUGCAUUAGUGAAUGUAUUGUGGCGAGGUUGGCCAAUCGAGGAGGAAACUUGGGAGGCGGAGCAGGAGAUGCGCAACUGUUACCCUCAUCUUUUCAACACUUCAGAUAUGUCUCUAUGAUGGUUUGAGGAUGAACGAAUGUUUUUAGAGUAGGAGGAUUUACCGACCCGGUCAAUUUUUUAAAGUAUUAAUGCCCCGAUCCUAUAUUAACUGCUUUCCCUGUGUCAAUUUAUGCUAUUAUGAGUUGUUGGGAGGAUCCUUUUUGAGUUUCAGAGUGUUUUGGGACACUUAGUUCCCAAAUGAGAGUCUAAGCUUUAGAAUUUGGACCGUAGUCAGAACACUGUGAAGACAACCUCGAAAUGGAAUUCUCUCAGUUAUGUUAGCUCCAUUGGGUGAUUGAGGGUUUAAGGGUGUAUUCGGGUUGUGUUUCGGAGGUCCAUAACUUAUUUAGGCUUGAAACACCAAAAGUGGAAUUUUUAAAGUUUUUAUCCUUAGUGUAAUUUUGAUAUCGGGGUUUGAAUCUGAUUUCGAAAGUCAGAACAACUCUAUAGUUUUGAAUGUGAGUUGUGUGCAAAAUUCGGGGUCAAUCGGACAUGGUUUGUUGGCUUCGGCAUCAAUUGUAAGUUUCUUGAAAUUUCCAGUUCUUUAGGUUUGGAGUUUGGGCAAUUCGUGGUUUUAGCAUUUUUGAUGUGAUUUGAGGGUUAGACUAAGUAUAUAUAUGAUGUUUUAGGACUGGUUGGUAUAUUUGGUUGAGGUCACAGGGGACUCUGGUGAGUUUUAGAUGCUUAACGGAAGUGAAUAUGGACUUAGGAAAAAUAUGAAGGUUAUGAACCUGUCAUAACCGCACCUACGUGUGGGGGACUACAGGUGAGGAAACACAGAAGUCGUUUGGGAACCACAUGUAUGGUUUGAGGCAUUAGGGGAGCUGGUGGCAGAUGCACCCCAACGACCACAAAAGCGGAUUGCAUCUGUGGUUAAAUUGGUGCAUGUGCGGAACUUGUUCUUUUAAAGUAAAAUCCGUUGGUGUAUACGACCCUUGCAGAUGCAGAAAUCGUUGGGCAAAAAUAUGAAAAUCGAGGGUUUGAGUUCAUAGGUAGGAAAAUCAGUUUUUAGCUAGGGGUAAGGCAAUUUUGGGAAGAUUUUGAAAAGCAAAUUAGUUGGUAAUGAUUCCUAAUCCUUUUUCUAGUUAUAUUCCGUUAAGCUAAUCUUAGUUUUGUCAUUUAGUUUCAGAUUUUGGGUGGAAAAUUGGGGAAAUCGAGGAAAAGUUCCCCAACCAAGUUUUUUGAUUUUGAUCAAGGUUUUCGUAUUAGAUUUAAGUAAUUUUUGUAUGGUUAGACUCAUAAGUGAAUGUAUGUUCAUAAUAUGUGAUAUUUCCCCAAUUCCGAGGCGUGGGACUAGGGAAGAUUUUUGGGCAUUUUUCUAUUUUCUUAUCUUAGCCUCGAUUCUUUCAGGUAAAUUUGUUGUUUGUAGUUAUAUUUACAUUAUGAAAUCUAUUUGAUUACAUUUGGGCCACUCAUAGUUGAAUUCUUGUGGCAAGAGCGUUGUUUUAGGUUGAUUUUGAGUUGGUUCAAGAUUAAUGGCUUGCCUAACCUAGUGUGGGGGAACUCCCUUUAGGAUUUUUGGUACUGAUGUUGUAUGAUUGCCGUGUAUGUGAGGUGACGAGUGUGUAUACAUGAGAAUUGUUGAAAAAUCCCAUUUUCUUUAAGUAAAUAUCUAUAUUUUCUUGUAAUUGAGCAAUAAUUGUACUUGAAGCCUCUUGAUUAGUUUAGGAAAAGCAUGCUUAUGUGAUUUAGUUGUCUUACAUGCUUUAAUUGCAUACUUGUACUAUGUGUAACAUGUUAGAGUAGAAUUUCUUUUUUAAAUUUUCGAAUAAAACUGUAAGUUCUUUCUGAGACUCUUGGGUGUUUACUUUGGGACUACAUGUCAAUAUCUCAGGAGACCCCCCUGCGUGUUUAAUUUGGGACUACGGAUUGGUAUUUUGGGAGAUCCCUCUGCUUGUUUAAUUUUGGACUACGGAUCGGUAUUCCGGGAGAUUCCCCUACAUAUUUAUAUUUGGUACUACAGGACGACACCCGAAAGAUUUCCCUGUAUUGGAAAUUUACUUUGGCACUACAGAUUGGUAUUCUAGGAGUUUUCCAUGCAUAUUAAUGAUUCGGACCUCGGGAAGAUAUCCAGGAGAUCCUCUUUACAUUUAUGUUUUGGACUACAGGACGAUAUUCUCGAAGAUUCCCUGUUGCUAUAACUGUGUACAUAGUAUAUUAUGUACGUGAUUUCACUCUUUAUCAACUAUUAGUGUCUUUAAUUAUAUGGUCGCACCUAAUACGAUUUUACUUCAUUUACACACAGACACACACACACACAGACACACACACACCCAUAUAUAUAUAUAUAUAUAUAUAUAUAUAUAUAUAUAUGCCUAUAAGGCCCUGUCCUUCCUCAUCACUACUUAACAAGGUUACGCUCGGCACUUACUGGGUACCAUUAUGGUGUACUCAUGCCCUUUCCUGCACAUAUUUUUCGUGUGCAGAUCCAGAUUCUUCGGGUCAACUAUACUAUCAGUGAAGGGAGGCGAUCUUCAAAGACAAUGAGGUAUAUCUUCAACGUCUGCAUACUGAUGAGUCCCUCUCUAUUCUCUUUUAUCUAUAGAUCUUAUGUACUUUCUUUUGAUUAGACAUUCUGGAGUUAGAACACUAUGAAGUAUCUACAGCUUGUGAUUUCAUGAGAUUCCUGGUUUUGGGAAUUGGUUCAAUUUUAAAAUUGUGUAUCUGUAUAUGCCGAGCAACAUCUCAAACAUUUUUAUUAUGAUUUAUUCGUAGUUUUUUCUAGGUUCGUAUUUCAUUUCCUUUUUCUGCAAUUUGUUCGGCUUACCGAGUCACAAAGACUAGGUGUCAUUAUGAUAGUUGAAAGAGCGGGAACCUGGAUCAUGACAUGCAGAGUUGGACCACACCGUCUUUUGCUAGUGACAUCCAGAGUUUUCUUGGUUUGGCCCGGUAUUAUUUUCGUUUCGUGGAGGGCUUCUCAUCUACUACUGCACCUAUGACCAGAUUGACCUGAUGGGUGCUCCUUUCAAAUGGACCAAGAAGUGUGAGGAAAGCUUUAAGAACUUAAGGUGGCUUUGAAUACAGCUCCAGUGUUGGUGUUGCCUACUGAUUAAGGUCUUAUACUAUGUAUUGCGAUGCGUCACGUAAUAGCCUUGGUGCGGUGUUGAUUCAAGAUUGUAGGGUGGUUGUCUACUCAUCUUGAAAGCUGAAGGCCCAUGAGAAGAAUUGUACACCCCAUGUUUCUGUACAUAAGAGUGCGUUGUAAGUCAAUUUAUAUAAACUAAAAAAUGAGAUUAGCUUUGGAAGUACAUAAAGUAAGUUAAUUUUGUUACUGUGGAGGUUACAAAUAUUAAAGAUCAUGAAUAACAAGUACAAAGAGCGUUGGAAUGUUUAGAAGCUAAACGAAUUGAAGAAAAUAAGUUUUCGUAGAAAGGUGACAAGUUCGGAAUGUUAUAACAUGUACAUUUGGGAUGAUUCUAGGGUGUUCAACGUGAUAAAGGAGCUAUUUUUGAGUUUUUAUUAAUAUGGUAGUCGUGCAUGUUACGACCCAAAUCGAUGGUCUGCGAUGAGCAAUCAGUGCCUUACUUAAUGGAGUACCAAAAUAACGUAUCUUUUAUAUAAAACCAUCAUCGGUAUAUGGGCUGAAAGGGUCGUCGUGAGAUAAUUUACUCAAGGAAAUACUAGAUAUAUGAUGACCCAACAUGACAUAGAAACUAAUACAUGUGACCUAUGGGCCUUUAAGGCUGACAUGAACAUUUGUACACUCAAAAUAUAGGCCAAAAAGGCCAUCCAAGUAUCCAUACACAUGACAUCUAUCUACAUGCCUCUAAGAGUAUAUAAACGUCAUGAAGGUUAGGACAAGGGCCCAACAUACUAAUCAAUACAUGUCCAAUUCAUACUGACCAAAUAGGCAACUUCGGAACAAGUGGAGUGCAUCAACACCUUCAGCUGAGUUUAUAGACUACUAAGAGGACUAUCAACCCAUCUUUCAGUACCUGCGUGCAAGAAAUGCAACAUCCCCAAGAAAAACGAACAUCGGUACAAUAAAGUAUUGAGUAUGUAAGGAAUAAAAAGUACUAUAUAAAAGACAUGAAAGAAUAGGGAGUAAAGUACUCAACCUGUAAGUCUGAAUAGCUUUGUGAAUCAUAAAUCGUUCAUAAUUACAUACAUGUGCAUGUAAUAGUCAUGUCAUGCGUAGAGAAAUGCAUACAUAACAUCAUCAAGCCUCGUAGGACAUUCCAUCAUAUCAUCACGACCUCUCUGGGAAAAAUCAUCAACGUAUACCAACGUAUCAGGUGGUGGUGCAUAUAUAACGUCAUAACCUUUCCCCAUACCUAGUGUACAUAUGAUAUUCCAAUAACGCCAUCUGACCAUGGGUAAAUAUAAAUGUAUAAAUGAAUGAAAUCUAUAAUGAAGUCAGUCAAUAAGAUCUCUCGGAAUGUCUUGGGGUCUAUGAACAGACUAUAUGAUAGUAGUACAUAUAGGAAAUCAAGAACCUAGGCACACCUAGUACUUCUAUAGAUAGAGUUAUUUAUGAAAGUUCCAUAUUUGCUCUUUUAAUUUGUGUCAUAUGGAUUAUGCAACAAGAGAAGGAUGCAUAUCCUAAACAGACCUACAUGAUCUCUUCCUCAUUACUCAACAAAAGCUAAACACAACUUCUUGCAUCUUCAACAAGUGAAAUGAUAUUUUUAAGAUAUAAUGUCGUACCAUCGUAUUUGGCUACUCAUAUGGCUUAACGAAAAUCAGGCAGAAAUUCCUCUAUUUUAAUACAUCCCAAAGACCACUAGGGGACAUCAAUAACCCAGCAAAAAUAACUAUUACAAAGAAUAACAAUAACAACAAUAUAGUCCAAUAUGAGUUUCUCCGAUUAUCUUAACAAUUAUAAUUAGCGGCAUGCUCGUUUUUACUCAUAACAAGAUAUAAAUUGAAUCAAACUCUUACUUUAUAAAUUAGUUUACAACCUUUAGAACAUCAUACUUAUAAUGUACUAUAUUUUUUUCUCGUUCAAAACAUCCACAAAAUGCCUUCUAAAUAGCACCAUAUGUCUAGCACGUUUAUCUUUAUCGUCAACCUCUUGUUUUUUAAUGUUAUCUACUUCAAUACACUGAAUUAGCACAUAGAUAAGCUUAAAAAUAACAUCCAAGACAUAUUCAAACUAUUUAUAACAAUUUCCACCAAAACACAGCAUAUAUAGAGCCACAACACAGCCUACAAAAAAAUACAACAAUUCCUUAUGCCAUAUCAAUUACUAUCUUGUAGAUUUUUACUCAAUCAACACAUGUUUAAACUUAAGCACAACCAAUAACAUUAUUUUUUUAUCUUAGGCAGCACAAAAAACUUGAGAUCCCCAGUUGGUGUAGCUCACAUCAGCCCUCAAUCAUACUGCAACACUACAUGAGUUGUAUUCUCUUCUUAAAUCAACUUUUGUGUUCAAGUUUGGUGUGUAAAUACUUGUAUUUCGCAUUGAAACUCUUAUCGGAAAAUGUUCAAAAGGCCCCUAAACUACUAAUUUAGUAAAUUCUUCUUCUUUUCUUUUUCAGUUUUUUUAAAGAAUAUUUAUUCAUAAAAUUUAAAAAAUUAUAAAAAUAGAAAAAUAAACUUUUUUAAUAAAAUAUUUUCGUUUUUUAAAAACUGAAACAAUCUUUUCAUUUUUGGAAAAUAUUGUUUUUGUUCAUAUUUUUUAUAACACAAAAAUAUGUUUUCAUUUAAAAAAAAUUUAAUAAGGAAAUGAAUGGAAAUGUUUUAAAAAAACUGACAAAAAAAAAUAAAAAAAUUAAAAUGAAAAUAUUUUGUUGACAAUACUUUUUUCACUUAUUUAAAUGAAAAUAUUUUAUUAAAAACAAUGUUUGUUCUGUUUAUACAAUUUCUUUUCCUAUUCUUACCAAAAGAAAUUGCUUUAAAAAUUUAAUAAAGUAAAUUUUUUGUUGUAAAAACUAAAUUAAUUUUUUGUGAAAAGUGAGAAAAGUCUUUACUAAAUUAGUGGACUAUUUGCGCAUUAUUUUUAGAAAACGAAAAUAUUUUACAAAAUAUUUGUUUUUAGUUUUACAAAAAGAAUGAUAAUUAUUUUUAAUUUUGCAUUGACGUAAUGAUCAAAGGACAUAAGUUAACCAAAAAAGUGGAUGGAGGGAUAUUUGCAGCCUAAUAGGUGGAUGAAGGGCAUUUUAAAAUCCUUUCCAAUAGAUUAGGGGAAUUUUGAAUCCUUUUUAAUCUAUAAUAUAUAUAUAUNNNNNNNNNNNNNNNNNNNNNNNNNNNNNNNNNNNNNNNNNNNNNNNNNNNNNNNNNNNNNNNNNNNNNNNNNNNNNNNNNNNNNNNNNNNNNNNNNNNNNNNNNNNNNNNNNNNNNNNNNNNNNNNNNNNNNNNNNNNNNNNNNNNNNNNNNNNNNNNNNNNNNNNNNNNNNNNNNNNNNNNNNNNNNNNNNNNNNNNNNNNNNNNNNNNNNNNNNNNNNNNNNNNNNNNNNNNNNNNNNNNNNNNNNNNNNNNNNNNNNNNNNNNNNNNNNNNNNNNNNNNNNNNNNNNNNNNNNNNNNNNNNNNNNNNNNNNNNNNNNNNNNNNNNNNNNNNNNNNNNNNNNNNNNNNNNNNNNNNNNNNNNNNNNNNNNNNNNNNNNNNNNNNNNNNNNNNNNNNNNNNNNNNNNNNNNNNNNNNNNNNNNNNNNNNNNNNNNNNNNNNNNNNNNNNNNNNNNNNNNNNNNNNNNNNNNNNNNNNNNNNNNNNNAUAUAUAUAUAUAUAUAUAUAUAUAUAUAUAUAUAUUUUUAUAUAUAAUAUAUAUAUAUAUAUAUAUAUAUAUAUAUAUAUAUAUAUAUAUAUAUAUAUAUCUAUAUAUAUCGGGACUGACUAUUAGCUUAAUAAUAAAAAAAACAUGAAAUCUGACGUUACUUACUUUUGAAGAACCCUCCAAAACAACCACCAGAUGAAGAACUACGAUAUAACAAGCACCACAGGAUUUCUAGCGUUGGAUUUAUAUUUUUAUCUUAGGUUUUCACCCGAAAAUCACGGAGGAACCCUUAGAGAGCCUUUAGGAAUUGUUUUGGAAGAGAGAAAUGAGUGAAAACGACAUAUACUCAACUUUAAUACAAGAUUACGUUUUACACCGACUUUGUGGGUCCCAUGGGAGCUGCUUGUGUAGUCUCGCAAAAAUGUGAAUAUAUCUCCACUCAGAUGUCGUAUCAAUAAACGGUUAAAUGAUUUAGCUAGACUCGUAUAUAUUCAAUUUGGUAGGUAGAUAACCUUGUAAUCCCAAGUAUAUUUUGAGGAAAUGUCAGCUGCAAUUGACAUAAUGUUUUGUACAUAUAUGAAUGUAACUUGUGAUCUUUGAAAACUUUUGUUCCACAACUUGCUUGGCUUCAAAACGUAAUACACGACUAUGAUACAACUAAAAUAACUCAUAAAAUAACCUCCAUAUCAUGUUAAUCACCCUAAUAUCACCCUAAAUGUACAUGUUAUAACAUUCCCAACUUGGCGAUGGUCGACAAAAUGUAUUUUUUUCAAUUUGUUUAGCUUCUUAGCCUUUUUACCCUCUUGGAACUGGUUAUCAAAGAUCUUAAGGAUUUUUAAUCUCCAAGGUAAUAUGAUUAUCUUAAUUUAUGUGCUUUCAAAGACGAUCUCAUUUUUGAGCUUACAUCAAUUGUCUUAGGACGUACUCUCACGUAUGAAAACAUAAGAUGUACCAUCAUUCACCCUUUAGAACAUUUGUCCUCUAAUGUUUACUGAUGCACUUAUUAGUCUCAUAGCCUACAUUUCUUACCAAUACUUUAAUAUUUUCCUUUUAAUCUAGGCAUUUGCUUGUUAAUUAAUCUAAAUUUCAGAGAAUUCCCCCUUUUAGUCCUCUUUCUUACACCCCGACAUGUGGUCGGAACUCUUCCAAUCUCACAACUAAUGUUACUUUGUUUAUGUAACCCGUAUGACUCUGACUUUGUAUAUGCUCCUAUGCGAAUCUUCUCUUCUUCUUCCUCUAGCAUUUAGCCAAUCUCUAAGCCUCACUUUGUGAACAUAUACAUAUCAUUGACAAGUUGUCCCUUUAGGUAUCUAUCGGUGUACUGAAGUUUUUCUCUCGGUACUUUGUCAAACUUAUUGCUAUUAAUAUAUCUUGUUUUAUAGCCUCGGUUAUCUAUGCAUAUGUGUUUACUACAACUAAUUAGGUCAUACUGUACCAUAACUCUUACUUCAAUUUAAUAGUAGCGAGGUCUGCUACCUAACCAUAGUUUACUCUCUUGCUGUUUAUCUUAUAUGUAUAAAUCUAAGUCAUUUAAUGCUUCCUUAUUACCGUUCAUCCUAAUAAUCACGACCUACUCUCCUCUCAUACUUUGUAAAUAUUAUCCAUCCAUUAUGGAUUCGACUUAAUGUUUGGUCCAUAAUCUACAAUUGAUAACUUGAAACCUCUUACGUAAUACAUUGUAUCUAUAACUCACGUAGUAUUGGGAAACAUUUAAAGUCAAUCGUAUAAUCCACCAAGGGAUGAUACUAUGUGAUUACAUUGUAUUUCAUAGCAUCCAAUGUGAUUUAUAUUAUGGGGGUCUUCCAAUCUUGUGCAGUUCAUGGAAUCCCUUUUCUUAAAAUCAUUACUCAAUAAAAACCUAAAUGUUAUCCUCUUAUCAACAACCAUUAAAAUCUUAUUCUACUACCAGGGAAGCAUUCUAUCUCUUCUAAUUGCUUCUAGUCUUAGAAUUGUCUGAGUUUAUUCAGGAUGUACCGACCUUUAUAUAUCUUAUGGAAACCGUCAAAUCUGUUGUUUUAAUGGGUUUAAUCCCAAGGACUUACCUAUUCUCAUCACCUUCUCACUCACCUUUUUUUGUUCGUACUCCAAUAUACCUAAUACUCUGUCACUCUGUGAUAAUUUAGCUUGCAACCUACACAUAUCUAUUUAUACUACUUGCAAUCUUUUAACUUUCUAGGACCAUAGAUUUGCUUUCGUACCUUCUUAGAUUUCUUUAAAUGUAUGUAAUUACUUUACCUGAUAAUUUAGCCACUUGUUGCACGAAUACUUGGCUUAUUUUAUUCCCCACUAAUAUUUAAAUUUCAUGUAAUUCAUAUUAUCUAAAGUAUCACUUUUGGCUUCCCGUUCAUUAGUCACGAUAGGUGCCAUUUUCUUAUGGAGUACAUACAAUAUUGUUGUAAGACUAUUCUUACAAGAUCAUUUCUUUUGCAAGUUACGAUGAUUAGGUUGAGGUCUUCUUCCUUAUUUCCUCAACUAUCCUUUCAUUGUAGUACUUAUGGGAGAUUUUCUGACUCUUGUAAAGCUGCAAACUAAUUACAUCAUAUACUCGUCUAAAUUUUUUAUUGUCUUCUAUGCAUAUAAAUAUCCUUAGUUACUUUUCUCCAUUCUCUUGUUCUCGUAGGGUUACUUUUAAAUUGAUAUUUGAUUGUCUCCCUAGUGACACUCUCUCUUAUUUUCAUAAAACAUAAGCGGUACCUUUAACUACCCCUAAUCAUAUCUAAAAGGACUGCGAGACAAAAUUACCUAUACUUAAAAUCACUAUAUUUAUCUUACAUGAUCUGUUGAUUAAUUAUGGCCUCUUGUCUAGCCAUAGUUAGACUUUUCCCGAAUCAAUUACAGACUAGUCGUUGUCCAUUCUCAUAUUUAUAUUCUGCAUAACACCUCUUCGGUUAUGGACUUUGGCUUAACUUACCUCUCACAGUGUCUCCUUGUGUAUCAAGUGCUCAUUCGCAAUUAUUUAUCAAUAACAUAUUGUGCACGAACCCUUACUCCGUCUCUCAAUGUCUUGCUUGCAUAAUUUUCUGAAGUCAAAACAUAUCUAUAGGAUUUGAAUAAAUGCAAUCUCAUUCUUUUGAGUUUUUACUGCAUUCUUCCUUUGCCAUUCAAUAGUUACUUGAACCACUUAACUCUGACUUAAUACACACAUCACAUAAUAUUCCGACCUUUAGGGCAGUACUAAGAUUUAGUGCUACAAAGAUCUACCUAUUGAUGUUUUACUCUUCAUCUUUGGCGUCUUUUCGCAUCAUCAAUGACCCUUACUCGAUUUAUGGUAACCUUGUUGUACCAAGAAUAACAGAAUUUCUUAUACACUAUGGUGACACCUAGUGUAACUAGCACACUCAGUCCCUUAAUCUUAACUCUGCUAACAGUGCUUGCUUUUGGGAAGCAUCUUCCUGAAUGAACUUUAAAGGUUAUUCUUCUGUUGUCCAACUAUUAUUUCCCUAACGCAAUAUCUGAAAUUCUCACGAUGCGACUAUUAUCAAAUAAUUUGGUCCCUAAUUCAUGUUUAUUUUAUCUUGUUAACUAGCCCAUACUGACUUCUAUUACUCCAGGGAUGUAAUUUUUGUUCUGGUAAUAACGUCGAACUCGCCAACACAUUUCUGAAAUAAGGAUAUGAAAUUUUUGCCUAUACUCGUUUAUGAUCAAAAGGCCUGUCAGUUUUUGUAUUUUCUUUUACUUGACUAUCGACUCUUUUAUAAUAUCAUAUUUUCAUUUCGUGUUAUCACUAAUUUAUCACAUUACUCAUAAUACUUUUUUACGCUCUUCUUAUUUUUCUACAAUAUCUUCGUCUAUUACCUUAUUCCAAAAACUUUAAAUAUUCUUUCGCUUUUAGCUUCCCUUCCUCUAUCCACUAGCUCAGUGGGUCACCUACAAUUCUCUCUUUAGAAGGGACGGGAGCCAUACAAAGAUACAGAUUUAUCCCUUCUAAGAUUCCAGUGCCAAUCUUCUAAGUAUUUCUGGACAUUUUAGUAUUCAUAUCUAAAUGUACUAUUCUAGAGUACACCAUAUGGGUGUCUCUCAAGGAGAACUAUUUCCAUGUUUUGAAUUAUCCUUCGGAAUGAUAGCUAAUGAUAACAAUCCACAAUCUAAGGUUACUCUAGCCCCAAAUGGAUCUUGAUAUCCCAUCCUUCUCUUAAAAUAUAGCUAUUAGCUUCCAUAUUGAAUAAUUAAGAUGAGUGUGGCCAAUUGUAUAUAUAUCUCUGUUACUAUUGAAACUAACUCAAAAUGCUUAUGUUUCUCACUCUAAAUUGUAAAUAUCGAUAAUCUUCACUAACUGGGUACCUCAUACCCUUCUUCACCAUGCUUCUUUUACUUGUUGAAAUUGAUAGCUACCUUCUCAUUCUCUCGUUACUUUUUAAACCAUAUGGGAAGAUAGUUAUUCAUAGCUUAGGGAUCUUUAUCAAGAAGCUUACACAUAUUAGUACACACAUAAUCUACCAAAGACCUUACAUUAACUCAUGAUUAGCAUGAUGCAAAAUCAAGUUUCUCAAAACAACUCUUCCAUAGCCACACUCAAUCUCUUACCAUCCGUCUUUAUAGAUGUAGGUAUCGUUGUAUUAUGAAUAAAGUAGAAUUUAGGAUUCUGAAUUCUUACAAAUGAGAUCUACUUUACAAUCUAGAGUAAGAAGAAAGAGUGACAAUCCUAAAUUUUCUGUAGGCUCGUGCUUAUAAGUGUUGUUCGCAACACACCCAUGAAAAACACUCUACUAAACACGUCUUGUAUAUUCUGUAGGAUAGAACUGCUCUGAUACCACUUUCGUGGCAACCCAAACCGAUGGGCCACGAUAGGUAGCUGGUGCUUUACCUAAAAGAGUACCAACAUAACAUAUUUUUCUUAUCACAUGACCAUGGAUAAAAGGGCCAGAAGGGUCAAUAUCACAUAACUAGAUUAAAACAAAAGGGAAUACUAGAUAUAGAACGACCCAACAUGAUAUAGAAACUUAUACAUUUGACACAUGGGCUUAUAAGGCCGACAUGAACAUUUGUACACUAAAAAAUAGGCCGAAAAAGCAUUCAAGUAUCCAUACAUAUGAAAUCUAUCUACAAGACUUUAAGAGUACAUAAACGUCAUAAAGAUUUGGACAAGGCCCCGACAGACCAAUCAAUACUUGUCCAAAUCAUACUGAUCAAAUAGGCAACAACGGAGCAAGUGGUGUGCACCAACACUUUCAAGUGAGCUUCUUGCCUACUACGAGUAUUUUCAACCUGUCAUUCAUGACCUGUGGACAUGAAACCCAUGAACAGAUAAUAUGAUAGUAGGACACAUAGGGUAUCAAGAUCAUAGGCACACCUAGUACUUCUAUGAAUAAAGUCAUUUGUGAAAGUUCUACGUUUGCUCAUUUCAUUUGAGUCAUAUGGAUUAUGCAAAAAAGGAAGAAGGAAUAGCCUUAACAUACGUAUAUGUUCUAUUCCUUUUCACUCACUCCACCAAGAUAAACACAACUUUUUGCAUCUACUACAAGUGAAAUGAUAUUGCCGUUAAUAUAUAAUGUCGUACCAUUGUAUUUAUUUAAUCGUAUGACUUAAGGAAAAUCGGGCAGAAACUACCCUAUUUUAAAAUAUCCCAAACACCACUAAGGGUCAUCUACAAUCCAACAACAAUGAUAACCAACAAUAGCCACAACAACAAUAUAAUACAAUAUGAGUUUCUCUCAUUAUCAUAAUAAUCAUUUAGAUCAAUAAGCUCGUUUUUACUAAUAAUAAGAUAUAAAUUGAAUCCAGCUCUUAUUACAUACAUUAUUUUAAAACCUUAAGAAUAUCAUACUUAUAUGUACUAUAUUAUUUCUAGUUUAAAAAUCCACAAAACACCUUCCAAAAUAGCCUCAUACGUCUAGCACCUUAAUCUUAUCAUUUACCUGUUAUUUUUCAUGUUAUCUUCUUCAAUCCACUAAAUUAACACAUGGAUAAGCUUAACAAAUGCAUCCAUUUCAUAAAAACUAUUUAUUAUAACUUUCACCGACAACACACCAUAUUUAUAGCCUCAACACAGCCCAUAAAAAAGGAUAACGAUUGCUUAUGGCAUGUCAAUUACUAUCUUAUACUUUUUCACUCAAAAAACUCAACCAACACAUCAUUAACCUCAACAACAACCAAGAACAUGAUUUACGUACCUUAGGCAGUAGAUAUAAUUUGAAAUCCUAGCUGGUGUAGCUCACAACAAUCCUCAAUCAGACCACAACACUUUAGGAGUUGUAUUCUCUUCUUGCAUCAACUUUGUGUUCAAGCUGGUGUGUAAACACUUGUAUUUUGCGUUUAAAAUCUAACAGAUAUGAACGAGGUACUGAUUAUUAUCUUAACCAUAAAUAAUAACACGAAAUCUAAGGUUAGUUAUCUUAGAAGAACACUCCAAAACAACCAAAAGAUGAAGAACUACGAUCUAGCAAGCACCACGGGAAAUCUAGCUUUGGAUUCAUGUUUUUAUCUUAGGUUUUCACCCUAGAAUCAUGGAGGAAUACUUGGAGAUAUUUUAGGAGGGUUUAGGAACUGAUUUGGAACAUAGAAAUAAGGUAAAAUGACAUAAAAAUCGACUUAAAUAAAAGUUGACAUUUUACACAACCUUUGUGGGUCCCAUAGAAGUUGCUUCCGCAGUCCAACAAAACUGCGAUUAUAUCUCUACUUCGAUGUCGUAUUGAUGAAUUAUUAAAAUACUUAGAAACUAGACUCACAUAUAUUUAAUUUCGUAUGUAGAUAAUCCCGUAAUUUCAGGAUAAUUGGAGACAAUGUCAGCUACAAUUGAUAAAAUGUUUUGCACAUUUAUGUUAUGAGUUAUGAAUGUUCCACAACUCACUUGACUUCAAACCGUAAUACGCGGCUAUGAUACAACAAAAAUAACUCAUAACAUAGCCUCCAUAUAAUGUUUAGUCCCUAGUAUAACCCCAAAUGUAUAUUUUAUAACAUUCCCAACUUGUCGACACUCGACGAAACUUAUUUUCUUCAAUAUUUUUUGCUUUUAAGCCUUUCAACCCUCUUGGUAUUGGUUAUCCAUGAUAUUAUAGUUAUUUAAUCUCUAAGGUAACAUGAUUACCUUACAUUAUAUACUUUCAAAGAUGAUCUCAUUUAUGAGAUUACAUCAAUUGACUUAGGACGUACUGUCACGUACGAAGAUAUGGAAUGUAAUGUCAUUCCCCCUUUUAAAACGUUCAUCCUCGAAUCUUGAGCAAUGCGAAUAUCACUAUCAUUACCUAUACUUAAAAAUACCUUAAUAUUGUCGUUUCCAUAUAGGCUUGCUCUGUUAAUAAAUCCAUCGGCUGGGGAAUUCUCACCUUUAGGCCUCUUUCUCAUACCCCGACCUGUGGUCAAAAUUCUUCCAAUAUCUUAACUAAUGCUACCUUAUUUCAUGUAACCCGUAUGAAUCUUACUGUGUCUGUGCACCUAUGAAACUCCUAUCCUUUUUUCUUCCAGCUUUUAGCCAAUCUCUAGGCCUCAAUUUGUGAACAUAUACAGAUAUAUGACUAGCAAUCCUUUUGGGUAUCUACAGGUGAACUGAGGUUUUACUCUCGGUACUUUUUCGAACUUAUGGCUUUUCAUAUAUCUUUUUUAAUAGCCUCAAUUAUCAAUACAUAUGGAUUUAUAACAACUAGGUAGGUCAUACUAUACCAUAACUCUUAUUUUGGUUUAUUAUUACCGAGGUCUGCUACUAAACUCUAGUCAACUCUCUCUAUCAUGACCCAAAAACUUACCCGGUCGUGAUGGCGCCUAACAUGAAAUUAGGUCAGCUAACACAAACCCCAAAACCAAUCAGAUUCCAUAAUAAGUCAUUUUAAUCCACUAAUUUGAUAAAAUCCCAUAACAUAAGUAAGAAUAAGCAUUGCGAAAAUAUAACACAAGUCCGACAUCAGGGUGUCACUAGUCAUGAGCAACUACAACUCAAUUAGGAACAAGAAAGGACAACAUAGUCUGAAAGUAAAAAUACUAAGAUAAUCCAAGUAAGAUAAAAAGGAGAAGCACAUGGCUGCGAACACCAAUCAACUACCUAGUAAACUCCAGAGACCUACUAGGAGACUGAUCAACAAUUAUUAUUGCACCCCGAAACUCUUGGAUCUUUGCACAAGGUGCAUGGAGUAAUGUGAGUACGCCAACUCAGUGAGUAAUAGAAAUAAAAGCAGUUGAGUAGUAAGAAAGUAGGUAAUUACAGGUCAUAGCACUACAUCAAAAUAUUAUGUGUCCAGAGAAAUACAGUAAAUCAAUUAACUCGUAAAAACAAAUUAGUUCAGUAAAUCCCUUUUUAAAUCGUCUUUCAAUAGUUUCAAACGAGUGAUAAAAAUAGUGAGUACAAGGAUAGAAACGUAAACAGCCCAUGGGGCAAAACAUAUUCCUUAAAAUAGCCCUUGGGCAAAAUAUCAGCAGAACUAGCCCCUCUGGCAAAAUAUCAGCAGAAGCAACCCCUCGAUUUACCUCACAAUCACUCAUAAUCACCUACUCAGGCAUAACAUUAAUCAAGAACUGCCCCAUGGGGUAAACGUGGAUGAAGAACAGCCCCUCGAGCAAUAAUUUAAUCAACAACAGCCCCUCGGGAUACAUAAUAUCAAUGUUAUUGGGUACCCGCAUUCGCUGGGGGUUUUCAGACUCCGGAGGGCUCUAAUAGCCCAAGUGCUAUAACAAGCCCUCUCGUGGCGUAAUAAAUUGGGCCCUUGGCCUCACAUAUAUGCCAAAUCAGUAAAAUAUGCUGUGACACACAGCUCGAUCCCAUGAUAUCCUCAUAACACAAGCCCUCGACCUUACUCAUAUAGAACUCACACAAGCUACUCAAGCUAACACUAAAACAAGUACUAUGCUUACAAUAUCAUUUAUAAAAUCAAAAGGAGUAGUUAAAAACGAAUUAUAAAAUCAGUGAAAGCAAAACAUGACAGAGUGUAAAUCGUAAAUAAAAAAUAGUGAGGAAAUUGUAGUAAUCAACCCCUAAGGGUCCAAAUAGUUGGCACAAGGCCCAAAUUUGUCGUCUAGCCCAAAACGUAGUAAUGCUUUUCGAAACACAACAAUAUCAAAUACUUUUCAAUUAAAUACGUGAAAUAAUAGUCGUACGAGACGGACCAAGCUACAAUCCCCAAUGGUGAACGACCCCACGUUCGUCAUCUAGCAUGUGCAUCACCUCAAAAUAGUGAAACAAUGUAUAUUGGGGAUUUCAUACCCUCGGGACAACAUUUACAAUCAUUACCUACACCGGUACUAACUCUAGCCCGUGACACCUUAGCUUUUCAAAUCGGCCUCACUUACCCCACAUGCGGUCUCGUAGAUGCGCUUUCUAGUCAUAUAGCUCAUGGACACAUAUGUUACUGCUCUAUCGCUUCUGCUAUCUGGCACCUGCAGUCCCCUAUCCGCAGGUGGUUAUGGCAGGAACUCAGCAGCUUCUGCUGCAAACUCUAACUUCCAACUCCUCGACAACCAUCCGAAAUCAUCCUGAAGCCCCCACGACCUCAACCAAAAGUACGAAUAAGUCAUAUACCACUAUUCCAACUUAUACCAAUCUCUUGAAAACAUAAAACAACAUCGAAUCAUCAAAACACCCUCGGAUUCAAGCCUAAGGUUUCCAAAAUUUACGAAUUCCUCUAUUUAUCAAAAACUCUAUCAAACCUCGUCCGAAUUAUCUGUAAAUUUGCACCCAUAUCACAGAUGACACAAAGGACCUACUCCAAUUUUCGGAAGUUCCAUUCCAACCCCAAUGUCAAAAUUUCCGCUACCAACUAAAAACACUAAAAUUCAAAUUUUGCCAAUUCAGGCCUAAAUCUAUCACAUGCCUCCAAAAUACAUUCCGAUCAUGCUCAUAAGUCCCAAAUCACCUAACGGAGCUAACCAAAUAAUAAAUCCAAAUCUGAGAUCAAAUACUAAAAAGUUAAUACUGAGUCAAACCUUUCAAAUUUAAAGCUUCAGGUUGAGAAUCAUCCUUCCAUAUCUAUUCCAAUUAACCUGAAAACUAAAAUUGGUGAUUUACAUAAGUCAUACUACGUCAUACAAGGCUAGUCGUGUUUGAGAGCUGGCGAGAAAAUUAAAAAUGCUCAAAACGACUAGUCGUGUCAUUAUAUCCUCCCCACUUAAACAUACGUUCGUCCUCGAACGUGCCUAAAGUUGUUCCAAAAACCUAUCAAUCACUGUAUAAUCUUACCAUGCCUCUACCCGGGGUUGAUACCACGUCACCCUGACCCAUACAGUUCAUAUAAUGCAACAUGACUUGAAUUUCACAAUCCAACCAAGCCUAUGAACCUUAUAACCAAAUUUCCCCUUUCAAAAUUAUCCAUAAGAUCAGAACCUCGUAUGUAUAUGCUGAAUAAGUCUGAACACACUCUAUCCAGACAUAACUACAGUUCAAGAUGAAAUCACAUCAUAUACCACACAACUCAAACUUUCAUAAAGAUAACGUCUGCUCAUAACAACUACUCACAACAACACAAUACCGGUAAUAAACCUCUUAUUACACAAAACACCAUUCCCACACUUUCGUAUACUGUCAAUGAUGAAAGAAACUUGCAGAAAGUCAUAACUAUUCCUGAGAUAAACAAGUCAUGAAUCUCCCUACUCCCUUGUCAAGGAAAAUAGUAAAUUUCUAAGCCGAAUCCCGAUAUUAUUGUUCCAACUUGCUGAAAUCAAGUCCGAUAGUACUCAUUUUAGUAUAAAUGGCCUCAUUUCAUCCAACACGACUACUUUAUUGACAUGACACAUCAAUAUAGUCUAGAUCCAUAACCCGUGCGACCCGCGCACCAAUAAGCAACAGUCCAAAUGCACUCAAAUAUUGAAAUAAUGACUCGAAUGAGAGAGCUAUACCGCAAGCUAGCCACUAUCCCUACAACAAAAUGCUGAGAACUCAUCACACAUCUUAGAACUCGAACAUACAAAUCUAACCGGAAGGAUCAUACCUCCACAUAACCUUGCUGCGGUGCAACCCUAUCCAAACACUGAUCCACAUGAAAGAUCGGGAGGACCAAUUUCUCGGUCCUUGCAUCUCUCCCUUAGCCUAAAAAAGGACCCAAAGAUUUGGGAACGCGCUUUGUUGCUUUGACCAUGAAGGAUUUUUCACACUCGACCUCAACGUAGCAUGAGUAAAUGGUUAUCGAUGGUAAGCAUGAAGUUCCCUAGGCAUAUGGUCUGAACUUGCAUCACUUGCAAGGGUAGUACCAGUUUGCGCUAGAUUGCGAGGUAGCCACGCCAAAUACUUUAUUUUUUAAUAAAUGCUUUGUACGAUGUUUGGGUUCUCCUUAAUAUAUAAAGGGGACCCUUGUCAUUUUGCAUAGGGAUUUGUGUCCGUAUAUUAAAUGCACAAAAUAUUAUCUCAACUCGCUAACAUAUUCUCUUAAUCUCAUUACCUCAAUUUAUUACUAGUAUUCGUUAUUUUAAUUGUGUUCUGUUAUAUUGUUCAUCAUUUAUUGCUUAUUAUUGGCCAUAAAGAGACAUCAUUGAUAUUAUCAUAACUCUUAGUCACCUAUUGAGUAUCCUCGAUGAGACAUCAGACUUGACCCCGAAGCUCCGAACAGGCAGGCUCAAGUCCCCAAUCCCGAACUGUUUGGUUCGAUUACCAUACCGUCUCCAAGUUGUAAUAUUGAUUUCUAACCCUUUACUAAGCAUCUAUUGCCUAAUAAACUAGGAUAAAAAUCGAUCAAAUUUAAUUUUUAUUACAAUUUUCACGUUAAACAGUUUGGCACCCAAAUGGAGCUAAACAUAAUAAUGAUUAUUUUCUUGAUGGUUCACUCCAUAACAAAAGUUAUUUUUCACGCUGUUUCUUGUACAAUUUCUAACGCUUUUUCUUGCUUAAUAGUGAUUAUUUUUCUUGAGAACCAUGGAGAGAAUGUUGUGGAUGUUCAAGGUGUUGGUGUACCACGACGAAACCCUGAGAACGUGCCAUUACAAAUUCAUGUGGAUACGAUAUCACGCGAGGCCCUACACAUCAAUAUAAGAUCCCACACUAACAUGAGAGUGAACUAAGGAGGAAAAAAAGAAGCUCAUUAAACCCCAAAUAGGGAAGAAGGGGAGGUUAAACUUCAUGUUAUUUUUGAAAUAUUACCAACACAACAUCUAGCUAUUGCUCCAGUGUCAGUCAUCAAAAAACUCCUAGUUCGAUAGCACCAUGGACAGUCUCCCCAACCGAGCAUGUACCGGAAAGAAAAAGCAACAAUGGGUUGGAAGCCGACCAUGACAUCAUAAAGAUUCUCCAUACCUAACAAAGAAUAUCGAGUUGGGAGACGAAAAUAUAGAAGCCAAUAACAAGAAGAUUGUGACCCAUAAUUCUAGGGUCGAUCAAAUUAUAGGUGCACCCCCGAUAUUAAAAGGUGUAGAUUCGAAGAAGUUUGUGCAAAAGUCAUUCCCGUAGGAAGCUUCCGAUUAACCCAUUCCUAAGAAGUUCAGGAUGCCCAAGCUUCUGAUGUACAAUGGAACCUCGAACCCCGACGAGCACGUCAUUGCCUACACAUGUGUAGUGAAAGGCAACGACCUAAGGGGCGACGAGAUCGAGUCCGUCCUGCUAAACAAGUUUGGGGAAACACUCUCGAAAGGGGCCAUGAUGUGGUAUCACAGCCUAGAUCCUAACACUAUAGACUCAUUUUCCAUGCUGGAAGAUUUUUUCAUAAAGGAACAUGCCGGGGCCAUCAAGGUGGCAACAAUGAAAUUGACGUCUUUAAAAUUAAGCAAAGGGAAAAUGAGAUGUUGUGAGAGUUCGUGUCUCGCUAUCAAAUGGAAAUAAUGUAACUACCACGAGUCUCUGACAACUGGGCAAUGCAGUCCUUUACCCAUUGUUUGAACAAACGAAGCCGCAGGGUUCGAAACAACUGAAGAGAAACCUAGUUGAGUAUCCUUCUUAGGAGCCCCCUAGGGCUUGGUAUAUCCUAACAAACGUCCGAUAAUUGAGUCAAAUCAAAAUAAUGAGACAUACUACCUUACACAAAAUAUAGAAGAAACUUCGUGAGGCGUAACAAACCCCGCAAUUACUGAAUAAUGGAUCGAGACUAGCAUCCUCGGGGACUUGUUAGCAAAGUCGAUUUUUUUACGUACAUAGGGGUGAUGGAGGUACCUCGCUUGUUAGAGUACAACUUAAAUUUUGAUGUUUCGGACAUCGUAUUCACCAUAGGUAAAAUUGGAGACACUAGGUGGCCGUGGGCGGUGUAGAGAGACCCUUGACAAAGGAACCAUAACUUAGUGUGGAAAUUUAAUAACAUGCAGGGUUACCAGACUGAAGAAUUCCGACAACUCCGGGAAGGAGUGGCCCCAUUACUCAGCAAAGGUAACCUCCGAGAAUUCCUCAAUAACCGAGAAAACAAUUGAUUCCAGGAAAGAGAGGAGACCAAGAAAAAUAAAAUAAAUAAGCUGCAACAUGUCAUCCAUAUGAUCUUGAGAUGUAUUGAUGCUCUACAGGAGCCCAUGAUCAAGAAGAACAAAAAAGUCCAUCACCAGAUAAAAGUGAACUCGGGGUUACGUACCCGAGAAUGCUCUCACAUUCAGCGACAAAGACAUCGAGACCUUGUCUUAGCCUCACAAUGAUGCACUGGUAAUCUCUUUCCUUUUACAUACUUUUCAAAUUAAACGUGUGCUUGUGGAUCUAGGUAGCUCGCCCAAUAUUAUCAGGUGGAAGGUGGUAGAGAAACUCACACUGCUUGACCAAAUCAUUCCCGCACCUCGAGUCCGCGAUGGAUUCAUAAUGGUAAGUGAAACAACGAAAGGGGAAAUCACCCUCCCUCCCAGUUAACGUGGUUGGCACAACCCAAGAUGCAAAAUUCCAUGUCAUCAAUGGAGAUAUGAGGUACAAUGCCUUGCUCGAAAGGCCAUGGAUACACUAGAUCACAGUAGUACCAUCCACCCUUUAUCAAAUGAUGAAAGACCCGACAAAGGAUGAGAUAAAAAUCAUCCAUAGGGAGCAACAUGCAACAAAAGGAAAUGUUCGCGGUGCAUGAAGUGACACAGACACCACUACCUCUACAAUCGAAGGAGCCAAAAGAUAAGGGAACAGUAAAAAAAUAAAAACAACAAGUUGUACUCUCGGCAAAGCCAGAUCGAGUAAAGCAGACGAUCAUAUCGCGACCUCACAAGUAAUGAUUGAAACAUACAAGGGGCUGAAGCGCCGUCAUGAGUAAAGUACGAUCAUCUACUUUUUUCAAUGCAAUUCAUACUAAUCUGAGGGUAGGUAUCCGAUCAAAAUAGUUGAUGUGCUUUCCAACUCGAAGGCCUUAGGUUUUAAAAGCAUGGGUUGGACUCAUUUCCUUUAAUUGCGUUUUUAUUCCAAGAAGGGAUUUACCGGCAAGGUUGUUUACGAGGCAACACCUAUAUGCUACCUAAGGAAGACUGAACAAGUAUUCAAGCUUUCCUUUUCAAUCAACCUCAAAUACUUAAGGCAUCCUCGGAUCAUGCUGAAAGGGGUCACGAUAGGAAGGUAAUGUACCCGACCAAAUGAUCGAACGAAUCGUGUCUGUGUAGAAUAACCAAGCCCUUAAUAGAGAAAAAUUGUAUACUUGUGCCAUCUAAUCAAAGAAUACUUUCCAAAAGUAUUUCAUGUUUCAAUGAAGCUCGGUAUUAUUGCAAAAAAUGGCUCUGGAGCCAAAAACGCCUUGAACACUCGGGGGCUGGUGUCAGCAACUCGAAACAAUAAGACCCCCGAGUCGGAGCUUCAAACUAUGAUGCCCUCAAUGAGGGAAAAAUAGCUCUAGAGACAAAAACGCCGCGAACAACUAGCAUCGAAAACUCAAAGCCACAUGACCUCCGGGUUGGACACUCCAAAAUUGUAAGUCCUCGCAAUACUAAGUUUACUAGUAAUGGCUCUAGGGCCAAGAAAUCCUCGAUGACUCGGGGACUGCCGUCAUAAUCGCUAUCUCCAUUGACUUAUCAAAAAUCCGACGCCAUAAGAUGCCAAAUGGGUAGACUCGGUGUCAUAAUACCAAUAUAAGGAAAUUCCAAUAUCUGUAAGACCUCAAGCAAUGCAUGAACCAUAGUUGUACCAAGUGAAAAUAUCUGUAAGAUCUCAAGUAAGGCAUGAACCAUACUUUUUCCUAGUAUCAAAAACUGUAAGACCUUAAAAGCAUGUAUAACUUGUAAGACCUUACUAAUGGAAUUAUCUCGAUCUUAAAGUCAAGGCAAUAUAUCGAACUUGUAAGACCUCAGAAAAGGCAUACCCUCGAUAUAGACGCUGAAACUACUUCACUCGGGGACCGAAAGACUCAGGCCAAAACACAAAUGACUACGGUCAUAACGUUGUACUGGCUAAACUAACACGACUAGGGGACGCUCGAGCGUCGCUAUAAAAUCAAAGGUCUUCAAUUAUUACCAAUAAACUUCAAAAAGAACCGGUUAAACAGGAUACCCUUGACAUAGGAAAAAGAGCUUCGACCAUGUUUGCUCCUUACUACAAGCUUCGAGAUACUCAGCCACCAUGCUAAACCUCUCAAGGAGUUUGAUGAUUUCCAUAUAACGGCUCAUAAUUAAUUUUUUAUCAAACCGUUGAAGAUGCGGGCAAACAAAAUUUCAAAAUGUCCUUAACAAGGGAAACAUAAAGCCUAUAUUAGAGGUCGCAUCGACCCAAAGCGUAAGAGAAACUGAUGCUAGAUCAUAUGAAAGGUCGUACUGACCCAAAGCAUAAGAGCCAUUAACUCUCGCUUAUAUAAAAGGUCGUACUCACCCAAAACGUACGUGCCACUAAUGCCAUCUCAUAUAAAAUGUGAUACCGACCCAAAGCGUAAGAACCACUAUCGCCAAUCCAUACUAAAGGUCAGAUCGACCCAAUGCGUAAGAGCCCAAGGUCAAAUUUUAAAUUCAAAAACUUGAGGGUCAAAUAAGCUCAAGCCAGAAUCCAACCCGGAGACUUAACCCAAAACAGUUAGUUAAAUAUCCCUGAGAGCAAUAGCAUAAGAGUUGGGUCUAGUCCGAGAACACUUGGGGACUCACCAUCGACCAUUAUGAGUCACUCAACAAUAGCAAAAAAUCGAGGGUCUAACCCAAGAUCUAAAGCCUCAGGUUGAUUAUAAAAAAAAUACACAUUAUUCCCAAAGUCAAAGGGGAAAAGAAGUGAUAAAAAGCAAAAGACAUUUAUACAUAUUGCUCACAAAGGCACGAUUACAAGACCUUUAAAACCCUGACAAAGAAAGAGCCAAAACCUUAAUAUAUCAUCGAGCCUAAUCUUCAACGACUCUGCUAGAAGUUGUGCCCCAACAGUUGCAGCUACAGCUCCAGUUCCUUCAACGACCUCUUCCCCUCUAGGGACAUCGCCUUCAUUCUUACCAUCUCUUAAGCUACUACUCGCCGCACCUUCGGAAGCAAACAUGGAUGCACCCUCCUUUUCUAGGGUCUUCACUCUCUAGAGCUUGGAUGAAAAAUUGAUAACACCAGCUUGUAUAUCCUAGGGAAUCUGCCUCCAAGAUUCUAAUCGAGCAUGCUCCAUAACUCGAGUCAAUUUCAUUUUGGCCUCCUCAGGUGCUCUCCCAGCUUGAGCGUUUAUCACAACUGCAUCCUCUUUGUGUAGUGAUAUAAGCGCCUCAGCUUCAGUUUUGAUCUAAGAUAGUGCAGUUAUAUUUACGGGAAAAAUGGUAAUAGCAAUUAAAUUUUAUAUUGGACAAAAAAAUACGUGAUCUAUUUAUAUGCUAGUUGUUAUGCAGUUGAUGCUAUGUGAAAGACUCAGAAACGAGGUAAGAGUUUUAGAGUAAGGUGAUAACCAAACCAAAAGGUUGGCAAUCGGGGCCUCGGGCUCGUCGAUAUUGGGGCCUUGAACUCAAUUUUGACACUCGGCUGGGAGCUAUUGAGGGCGAUUAAUGUAUGAAAAAUAGUUAUGAUAAAAUCAAGGGUUGCUGUUUAUGGCCAAUAGUAAGCAAUAAAUGAAGAACUAUAAACGAAGAUAAUAAAUGGAAGCAAUAAUAUUAAGAUAAUGUGUUAGAGAGCAGAGACAAUGUUCUUGUAUAUUUAGUAUGGAGCUACAUAUGUUUACAAAAUUACAAGGAUCCCUUUAUAUAUACAUUGGGAGGGGAUCCCAAUAUAGUACAAAUGGCACUAAUAAAAAAGAUAUAGAGAUGGGACAACUAGUUGACUCCCUGUCUCUGGUCUAGGCCUAGUCUUAAAGACUUUGUCGGCUCUAGCUGAAUGCCUUGGGAACUCCCCACUUUUACCAUAGCCAUGGUCAGUACUGCCCCAAAGCCGAGCGUCAGCGAACCUCGACGGAGAAGGCUCGACCGUAGCCUCGAGCCUUUGAGAUAAUCUUUUAUAGUGCUUUGAUAAUGAGGAAUUAGACCCUCCUAUUUCAUCAUAUUGAAGUUAUUAACUUAGAAUGGAGAUUUAUAUACUUGUCACUAUCUGUCGUUGUAUCAUGAAGCCGGUGCCUAACUAAAGCCAUUCUUUCCUGGAGGGUAUCCCUAUCAAAAGUUAUCUCUCUCGCGUGUCGUUUCAGUUUGAAAAUUUCUGAGUAUUUGUUGUGGAGUUCCUCCCUCAGUAGGGCACUUCUCAAAUUGCACGAUUUGGAGAUAAGACAUAAAACAUCGAGAUGUGGCAAACAUUAAGACAAUAGAAAAUUAAAACAAGGAAACCUAUUAAACAAUAUGAGUCUUCCCGCGUUCAUGACGGGCUACCUCAACAUGAAACUAGCCAAAACUCUUAUCAUAAAGCACCUUGUCCUAAAGACACAAAAAAGACAAGAUAAAAAGAUAAAGAUCAGGAUGACAUGCCUUUCAAAUGCAUCUCUACCUCCGAUGGGUACCCUCAUAUUGGUAGAUUUUUCCCUCUAGGUGUCUUGUGUUCCCUUAGGAGGUAAGGUCGUUCCCUAAGGGAACUCAGUCAUGAUAAUAAUACUAACAAGGUCAAUCAAGGCUGUCUGUUGUCCCUACAGGGUUUCAAAAUUUGUUUACUUCGAACCACCUACCGAUUGAGUCUCAGCUCGUGGAAUAUAUUGGCCAUCAUACGGCUUAGAGAACAUCACCAACACUUCCUCAGUGGCCUCUCCAGCUUGAUGUUUGACCAUGGCGACGUCAACCUCUGGCUCGGGAGUUACCUUUCCUCUGGUGUGAGGAUUGAUCAAGUUUGUCUCUCCCUCGGAUGCUGUCGAGAAAUUUUUUUCUCCCGCGCGUUCAACUUGGAGACUUCCCACUACUUUUGGAGUUGAGGCUGCUAGAUCAUCCUUAGUUUCUUCCACCUUCGUUUUGUUUGAUUCCAAAGGUUCGUUCGAUGGUCCCCUUUAUCUUUUCAUAUCUUCGUCAUCUAUAGGUAUGCAUAGGAAGUACGGACACUAUCAAUACCAACUCAGUGUAAAAGGUACGAAUGCAGUAGAAGUAAAGGCUCACCAUGAUCCUUGGCUUCCCAUCGCACUUGGGAUAGGUCACACCACACUCGCUUAAAGUAUGGGCAAUCGAGUCCAGCCAACUAACCUAGAUCAAGAGGUUCGUAACCGCACCAGGGUAAACUGCUACGGCUGCAUCAGCAAACUAAAUUAGCACAUGGAAAGAUGUACCUAAAAAGAAGCAAGGAGAUGCUCGAUAACGUAUCUACUUACGUUCCAUGUUCCACCUUUUAGGGAAUGACAUCCUUUCUAGUGGGAUUAGGUCUGAAGUCCUAACUCAGAUGAAAUGACUCGUUCACCUUUCGCUCCUGACUUCGUCAAUACAAGCAAUAAGGGCCCUCGAAGCUCGCCAGCGGAGCUUGAUCAUGCCUUACGAAAUAGACGUGGGAUGUACAUUUUGACUAAGUUAUAGUUGGUGAAGGGGAUCUCCCCAAUCAUCUUCAAAUAAUAUAUGAUCAUGUAGACGAUGCGGUAGAAUAAAGGGUGAAUUUUUCCGAGGGUUAGUCGAUACCAUCGGUAGAAGUUGAGAACCACAGGUCUAUCGGAGGCAAGGAUGGCCCUACCAGCCAAAGGGUUAAUUGGUAAGUAUACACACUGAUAAAAUUGUCUUUGUAUGUUGUUAUAUCCUCCUUUCAAGAAGGGACCAUGAAAAGCACUACAUCCCUCUAGUGGCAAUCAGUCCUUACCCUUCCGACAUCUGCUAUUAAGCUAAUAUACUGAGACAUAGGCUCACGAUGCCCCGACUUCGAAGAAGGUUUUUUGAUUUUGAAAUCAGAAUCUAUUGCAAAGGACCCUUGAAUGCAUUCCUCAACAUGAGGAGACAGUGCUGCUUUGCCUUCAAAUGAAAGUGAAGAGGAGGAGGUUAUAUUCUCCUAAGAAGCGGAGGCUGAAGCUUUCACUAUUGUUGAAAUAUUUUAGAGGAGAAAAAGAAGUUGGUUUUAAAAUAAAGAACAAAAGUUAAUAAUAAGGAACAAGAGUAGAGGUAUUUAUGAAGCCCAAUACGCAUAGUAGAGGAUACAAAAAGUCAACUAGCCGCUUUGAUGAAUACGAAAGGCUUUUAAGGGCUGGGUGCAUGCGACCUGUUGACAUCUUAUUCUAUCGUGUCAAUCAUUUGGCAAGAUAUGAAUGACGUCGUUACGGAAGUACCAGGAGGGAAAUAAUUCGAGGUCCUUUCCUAUCACUUCGUUCUAAGAAAUGCUUUGGACUAUCUGUAUACGGGCGAGAUUGGGAGGCCUAAUUUCGCGUUCAUUUCAUCUCUCCCUUUGCCUAAUAAAGGCCCCAAAGAUCUGGGACCGUAGUUUGAGGCUUCAACAUCGAAGGCUUUUUCACGCUCGACCACGACGCAGCAUGAGUGUGAUGACCAAAAGGGUCAUCACUUGUUUGCUCACUCAUUCUGUGCUUUUGAUACCUUUAAAACCUCAUUAUGGGUUGCCACAAUUUGCAUGUGCAGUUUGGGCGCAUAACCGGAAUGCUUAAAUAUUAACAUUGUGAGAAAAUGCUAAAUUUGAUAUUAAAUCAAAUAAAUUUGAUUUCGAUCAAAAUUUUAGGUAAACAGACCCGGACCUAUGAUUUGAUAGUCCCCGCGGGUCUGUAGGAAAAUAUAGGACUUAGGCGUACGUCUGAAAUCAAAAUCCGAGGUCCCAAGCCCGAUAAAUGAGUCUUUAAAAGAAAUUGUUUUUCUGAAACUGUUAAGGAAAUUGAAACUCAAAUUUGAUUUGAAGACUAUGGUAUCGGGCCCGUAUUUUGGUUCCGGUGCCCGGUGCAAGUCUUAUAUAUUGUUUAAUCACAUUAUUUAAAAUUAGGUUGAAAACGGACGUUGUUUGACGCGUUUCUGACUUAAAAUGCAAAUGUGACGUUUUUUGGAAAUUUCGAAGGAAUCACGAGUUUUGAGGCUUUAUUCGAUGUGUAUGAAGUUAUUUUAGCAAUUUCAUCACACGAGUAAGUCCGUAGGAUAUUUCUGAGGUUGUGUGUAUAUUCUGUUUGGAGCACCGAGGGCUCGGGUUAGUUUUGGGCAGGCCGCAUUGUGAAAUUUUAGACUUAAGGAAUUGCACGCCUGCAGUUUUGGCAUUUACCAAAAAAUUUUCGCAAUUACCAGGAUAUUUUGCAUUUUCGAAACUUUCUUCGCAAUUCAUAGGUUUGCAUUUUAGAAAUAUGUUUUGCAAUUACCAGGCCUGUUUGCAUUUUAAAAAAUUUCUUCGCAAUUCCCAUGCUUGUAAUUCUCAAAAUUUUUUCGCAAUUCUCAGGCUUGUUUGCAUGUUCCAAACUUUAUUCGCAAUUCCCGGGUACGCUUUUCCCAAACUUUUUUUGCAAUUCCCAAGCGAGCAGAGGUUGGCUCGCAAUUGCAAACUCGUGUUCACAUUUCCCAUAUCAGAGACCUGCAACUUUUAUACUUAGACGGUUUCAAACCCAUUUAUCAUGUUCUCUCAAAACCUAAACACACGUAGGCAAUUUUUCAUUGAUUUAUUCUUCUCUAUAUCAAUUAUAAGUCAUUUUAACUAACUUCCUUUAAGUGUUAACUUCUUUUAACAUGAUUUCAACUUCAAAUCAAUGAAUUUCAUGGGGGAAAUUGGGUGUUCUGGGUAGAACCUAGGCUUUUCCAAAAUUGGGGAUUUAGACCUCAAUUUGAGGUCCGAUUUCAAAACUAAUUAUAUAUUUGAGUUCGUGGGGGAAAGAGUAACCAGGUUUUUGUUUGAACAUCGGGUUUUGACCACAUGGGCCUGGGGGCGAUUUUGGAAUUUCGGCAAAACUUUGAGAAAUUCAUUUUUAUGCAUUUAAAUUCAUUCAUUUAGAGUUUAUUAAAGUAAUUAAGUUACUUGUGACUAGAUUCGAGCAGAUUGGAGGUGGAAUAACGGGCUAAAGCUUUAGUUGAGGCUUGAGUUUAGUUCAAAGCAUUGAGGUAAGUUUUUGGUCUAAUCUUAGCUUUAGGGAAUAGGAGUUGAGUCUUAUUUGCUACUUGCUAAUUGUCGAGUAUGAUGUAUAGGCAUGUUGACAAGUAUUUAUACAUUGGUGUCUAUCAUGACCGUGAUGUCCUUAUUUUGCGAAUAGUUUGGAUUUAGUUAUACCUUCCAUGCUUAAUUGAUGACUUCUAUAUGUUGUAAAGAGUAUGUGAAAGGAAUUGUGAUUUUAAACUUCGUGGAGCAUUGGCUCGAGUUGAAAUAUAAAUUGUGAAGGAAUAUGAGAUAAGUAAUUUUUUGGUGCAUUGGCUCGAGUCAUAAUGUGAAUUAUUAGAUGAAAGUGAAAAAAAGAGAAAGAGUUAUUGAUCUAUUCCCUUGUCGGGACAUUGUUGAAUAUUAAAUAUUUUCCCUUGCGGGGACGUUGAGAUUAUUGAUGUUCUACCCUUAUUGGGUUUUAAUUAUUUGUUUGUGUUCCCUUUCCCGGAUUUCCAUUAUUGUUUUCUUAUUCCCUUGCCCUUGUUUGUGAUUAUAUGUUUCGAGGCUUUAAAAUCUCCUUUUUGGCUCACCUUGAUUUGCUUGCUUAGUCCGGACAUAUAUCUGGAAAGUCAUUAUGUGAAAAUUUGUAAAAUAUAUAUAUAUAUAUANNNNNNNNNNNNNNNNNNNNNNNNNNNNNNNNNNNNNNNNNNNNNNNNNNNNNNNNNNNNNNNNNNNNNNNNNNNNNNNNNNNNNNNNNNNNNNNNNNNNNNNNNNNNNNNNNNNNNNNNNNNNNNNNNNNNNNNNNNNNNNNNNNNNNNNNNNNNNNNNNNNNNNNNNNNNNNNNNNNNNNNNNNNNNNNNNNNNNNNNNNNNNNNNNNNNNNNNNNNNNNNNNNNNNNNNNNNNNNNNNNNNNNNNNNNNNNNNNNNNNNNNNNNNNNNNNNNNNNNNNNNNNNNNNNNNNNNNNNNNNNNNNNNNNNNNNNNNNNNNNNNNNNNNNNNNNNNUAUAUAUAUAUAUUGUUACUAAAAUGAAGUUAAGUUGACUUCGGUCAAUAUUUUAGGUAAACAAACUCGAACCCAUGAUUUGACGGUCCUGGAGGUUCCGUUGAAAAAAUAUGGGACCUGGACGUAUGCUCGGAAUCGAAUUCUAAGGAACCAAGCCAGAGAAAUGAUUUUUUGAAGAAAAUUAUUUGACUGAAAUUUUAAGAGUUUUUUAAAAUUGUAAUGUAUUGGAAUUUGAUGGUAUUAGGCCCUAUUUUUGUUUCAGAUUUAGCCAUAGGUCUAAUAUGGUGUUUUUGUUGAGCCAAUCAAAUUUUGUAAGAAACGUACUUGAUAUGGCAUGAAUCGGACCUUCAGUUGUUAAAAUUUGAACUAAAGAGUUCAUGAGAAUCUUCUUUGAUUUUGUUGCUAAAUCAAUAGUUAUUGAUGUUAUUUUGAUGAUUUUGUCGCACGAGCAAGUACGUCUAAUAUUUUGUACUUGUGUGCAUGUUUGAUUUAGAGCCACCUGGGCUCGACUGAAUUUUGGAUAGGCCAUGGAGUGAAAUUGAACUUAGGAAAUUGCGAGGCCUGGCACGUAAAUGUGAGCUCGCAUUUGCAAAGUUGUAUCGCAAAUGCUAAGAUAGCCUAGGCAGGCCUUGAUCGCAAAUGCGAAAAAGGCCAGAGUCGCAAAUGCGACUUGUUGUUUACAAAUGUGAAGAUAGCAGGUCCAAAAGGGGUUCACAACUGCAAACCUUGGUCGCAAUUGUGACAUCAAAGACCAGUUAAUUGGGAAUUACACGCAUUUUUAUCCAUGUUUCAGACCUUCUCAUAACCAAAACACUCUUGGGGAUUUUCUAAAGAAACGUUUAUCUACAAACUAAUUGUAACUCAUUUCCAACUCAGUUUCUUUAAUCUAUUGCAUCUUUUCACAUGACUUAAAAUAAAAUUCAAGGGUUCUCAUGGGGAAAAAUAGGUGUUUUCGGUAGAACCUAUGAUUUUUAAAUUUUUGGGAUUUGGACCUCAAUUUAAGGUCUAGUUUUGAAACGAAUUAUAUAUUUGAGUUUGUUGAUAAAUUGGUUAUUGGGUUUUUGUUCAAACCUCGGGUUUUGACCAUGUGGGCAUGGGGUUGAUUUUUGACUUUUGGGGAAAAAAUUUAGAAAACUUAUUUUCAUCAUUAGAAUUGAUUCAUUUAGCAUUUGUGAAUAUAGUUAAGUAACAUGUGGCUAGAGACAAGCGAAUUGGUGGUGGAUACAAGAGGUAAAGCGAUAGUUGAGGCUUGAUUUUCGUUCGUGGCAUUGAGGUAAGUGUUUGGUCUAACCUUAGCUUGAGGCAUUAGGAGUUGUGUCUUAUAUACUCUAUGUUAAUUGUUGAUUAUGGCGUAUAGGUAUGGUUAUGAGUAUCUAUACAUUGGUGUCAUGCAUGCCGGUGAGUCUUAUACUAUGAUUAUAUGACUUUGGUCUCAUAUUGUUCAUGCUUUAUAUGAUAAGUUCUAUUGUUGAGGAAGGCACGUGGAAGUAUUAUUGGUAAUUAAACAAUAUAGAGCUUUGGCUCAAGUUGUGACUAGAGUUGCGAAGUAAAUGUAGAAAGAGUAGAGGUUUAUGAUAUUGUCUCCCUUGCCCGGAUGUUGUUACUUUUGAUGUUAUCUCCCUUGAUGGGAUGUUAUUACUUUUGAUAUUGUUUCCCUUGCCGGGAUAUGGUUGUUAUACUAUUGUUCCCUUGCCAGAAUUUUAUUUUGGUUUUAUUUAUUCCCUUGCCGUUAUUGCUUUGUGAUUUUUGUUUGGGAAAGGGAGAAUGAUAAAUCACGAAGGGUGAUGCCGUGCCUGAUAUUUUUAAGAGAGUGUUAAUGCACAAAGUCUUAAGCCUUGAUGAUAUUGUCAGGUUAAAGCACGAAGGUUGAUGCCAUACGCGAUGUACAAUUCUAUGCCAUGAUAUGACAGAUAAUGCACAAAGGAUCUUUCUGUGCCAUGAUUAUUUGAGGUAAAAGCACGAAGACUGAUGUCGUGCCGUUUAUAUUAAUUCUUAUGGUAAGGAUGGGAGUAAAACCAUUACAGGUGAUGGCAUGCACCUGUCAUUAGUUUCAUGAUUCUUACUGGUAAUUGAGUUAUGGUGUUCUUUACAUUUACCUAUGGAUUUUAUUAUGUUACUUCCUGUUCGCCUUAAUUUGAUUUCCCUUCCUAUCACAUGUUGUAAAUUCCUGUCUUUAUUUUCUGAUGUACAGGAUUUAACUGCACUGGUUAAUUUAGUAGUCUGGUCCUAGCCUCGUCCCUACAUCGUCGAGAUUAGGCUAGGCAGUUACCAGCACAUAGGAUCACUUGUGAUGGUACUACACUCUGUACUGUGUGCACAUCCCAAUGUUAAAACUUUUGGAAUGCAACUACGUUGCUGCCUUCAAUCUAUUUAGGCGACCCAAGGUAGUUUUGCAGGCGUUCGCAAGCUUUAGUGUCUCCUUCUAUCAAUUCCUUUUUUUAUUAACGUAUCCAGAGAUAGAUUUAUGUAUUUCUAUACAGACUCUGUUUGUAGUAUUCAUAGAUGGUUCGUGACAUUAUGACACUAGCUGUGGGUAGAGUUGUACUUAGACUUCCAUAGUUUGUAUUAAUCAAAGUUAUCAAAUUUUGUCUUCCACACGAUUUUUUUUGUUAUUAUUAUUUCCACUACUUUGGUUAUGUUGUCUUGGGAUUUCUAGGGGAUUAAAAAAACAUGAAAAAAGAAUUAAUAACUGUAAUAUUGGCUUGCCAUGAUUUUACUAGUAGACACAAUCACGACUCCCGAGUAUGGGAAAUCUGGGUCGUGACAAUUUGGUGUUAGAGCUCUAGGUUUCUUAGAUCUCAUAAUUCACAAACAAGAUUACCAGAGUCUGAACAAUCGGUACGGAUACGUCUGUAUUUAUCCCCUAGAGGCUGCAGAGUUAGGAAAAACUUCACAUCUGUUAUUUCUUAUCUUGCGACUUGACUUCUCAAUGCUAAUUGAACUUUUACUCUGUUCACUUGCAGAUGUUGAGAACACAUAGUGUUUCAUCAGCUAACCCAUAGCCUGAGCCCCCAGUAGCAGCUCAUGUGCGGGACCGAUGCUAAGGCCAUGCUAGGGACCGAGAUUGUGACAGAAUUUAGCCUAGAGAUCGAGCAGCAGCACCAAUAGCGGAGCCUCACGUUGAGUUUCACGACAAGGUUCCAUAAUAGUUAGCUCUAGCAGGACCAGCUCCGCUACCAAAGGGGUUCAUCAUCACCCCGAUACUUCAGGAUGCUCUGGUCCAUCUAGUGGGCCUUAUGGAGAGUGUCACUCAAGCAGGCUUGCUUCAUGUGGCACCAGCCAUCUCUCAAGCUGGAGGAGGAGCCCAUACAUCUACUACUCACACAACGGAGCAAAUGGCUCUCCAGUUUCAGACUCCAGUAGCUCAGCCAGUUAGGGUAGUUCAGCCUGGUAUUGUUGCUAAUUCCGGGGAGUGGCUAGCUAUGUCUGCUAAUGCCUUGUGGAUAUUGGACAUUUUCUCCAAGCUCUGCUUCACUACCACUUACAUCGGUGCAUCUUCUAAGGAUCCCCAAGAUUAUUUAGACAAUUGUCAUAAGGUUAUUAGGAACAUGGUAAUGGUGGAGACCAAUGGAGUUGAAUUUGCUACUUUUUAUUUGUGGAUCCUCCAAGACUUGUUAGAGAUAUAAUUAUUUAGAUAGACCAGCUGGGUCACGAGAUUUGACUUGCGAUUAGUUUUCUCAUCUAUUUCUUGAGAAGUUUCUUCUAAUCACUCAGAGGGAGAACUAUCGGAGGCAAUUUGAGCGUUUCCAUCAAGGUUCUAUGACCGGUACACAGUACAAGACCAGGUUUAUCGAUUUGUCCUACCAUGCUCUUCUUUUACUUCCCACUAAUAGAGAGAGUCAGGAGGUUCAUCGAGGGACUCCUUCAGCCUAUUUGAUUGCAGAUGGAUAAAGAGACGACGAGCGAGAUUUCUUUUCAGGAUGCGCCCGAUGUGGCCAAGAGAAUUUAGAUGGUUCUAUCACGUGGGAGUUGUCAUGGGUCUGACAUGAGGCCUCAUCAUUCAGGAAGAUUCAGUGUUGCCUCGUCUAGAGGUAGGGAUUCUUUUGGUAGAGGUCAUCCUCCUUGGCCUUUUCAGUCAACACUUCAGGUCUCUCAUGAUGAUUCAGGUGGUCGGGGUUCUCAUAUGUAGUAUUUUGAUUAGAAGUCCUACAGUGCACUACCAGCUCCUAUCAAUGCACUGCCGCUCCAGAGUUUUUAGGUUGGUCAUUCAACCUGUAAAAGUCAGCAAUAACAAUAGAUGAGGGCUUUUUAUUCUUGUAGCGAUACGAAUCAUAUUGUUAAAUUUUUCCCUCGAGUAUCAAGCAUCUCUCAGCAUCAGCGUUCCGUGUUAUUGUUAAAGCACAAAAUGUUCCAGGCCCCGCUCGGCCAGCCAAGGGGGAAGUAGUGGUGCUAGAGGUGGAGUUUGAGGUAUUAAAGGUAGAGGUUAGGCCACUAGAGGUGGAGGCCAGCAAGCAACAGGUCAUCGCAGAGAUGUAGUUCAAAGUAGUGAGACCCAAUCUCAAAGUUAUGCUCUUCCAGCCAAGCUCGAGACUGAGGCUUUUGAUUUAGUUAUCACAUGUUCUAUCUUGGUUAGUAUUAGAGAUGCCUCAGUUCUAUUUGAUCCAAGAUAUACAUACUCAUAUGUGUUUUCUUAUUUUGCACCGUAUUUGGUCAUGUCUAGUGAUUCCUUAGGAGCUCAUGUACAUGUGCCUGCACCAAUUUGUUAUUUUAUCGUGGUCGAUAAUGUCCAUCGUUCAUGUAUAGUUAUGGUUGGGAUUCUUGAGAUUCGUAUAGAUUGGUUACUUUUGGAUAUAGUUGAUUUUGAUGUCAUGUAGGGGAUGGACUGGUCAUCACCUUACCAUGCUAUCUUUGACUGUCAUGCCAAGAUUGUGACCUUAGCCUUGCAAGGGUUUCCCUGUUUAGAAUGGAAAGGGAUUCCUGGUCAUCCCACCCGUAGUUUUAUCUUAUACAUGAAGGCUUUGUGUAUGGUCGAGAGAGGUAUUUCGCCUAUUUUGCAAAUGUUUGUAAUUAUAGUGCGUAUGUUCCUUCUAGGGAUUAUAUGCCUAUUGUUCGUCAGUUUCCUGCGGUUUUUUCUUCAGACCUCCCAGGUAUGCCAAACGACAAGGAUAUUGACUUCUGCAUUGAUUUGGCUCAGGGCACUCAGCCUAUUUCUAUUCUGCAGUAUAGUAUGGCCUCGCUUGAGUUGAAAUAAUUGAAGGAGCAGUUGUAAAACUUGCUUGAUAAGGUCUUUAUUAGGUUUAGUGUAUUUCCCUAGGGUGCGCUUGUAUUGUUUCUAAAGAAGAAGUACGGAGCAAUGACGAUCUGUAUAGAUUAGAGGCAAUUGAAGAAGGUUACAAUAAAGAAUAAGAAUUUGUGAUUUGUGUGACUAGCUUCAGUGUGCCAAGGUAUUUUCAAAGACUAACUUGAGAUCUGGCUACCAUCAUUUGAGGAUUAGCGCAUCCGAUGUCCCAAUGAUACCUUUUCGCACUUGGUACGGGCAUUAUAAGUUCUUGUGAUGUUAUUUGGGUUGACAAAUGCCCCAACAAUUUUUAUAGAUUUGAUGAGCUGAGUGUUCAAGCCUUACUUGGUUUUGUUCGUGAUAGUCUUGAUUGAUGAUAUUUUGAUUUAUUCCCGUAGCCAGAAGGAGCAUGAGGAGUAUGUGAGAGUUGUUAUGCAAACUUUGACAGAUAGUCAGUUGUAUGCUAUGUUUUUUAUGUCUGAUUUUUUGUUAGGAUUAGUUUCUUUUCAUGGAUCAUGUUGUAUUAGCAAAAGGUAUUCAGGUAGAUCCAAAAAAGAUAGUGGCAGUCAAGGACUGGCCUUGACCCGCAUCAGCUACAGAUAUCCGGAGUUUCUUGAGUUUGGCGGGUUAUUACCAUUUGUUAGUGGAUGGGUUUUCUUCUAUUGCAGCCCCAAUAACCAGGUAGACCUAGAAGGGUUCCUAGUUCAGGUUGUCAGACGAGUGUGAGGCAAGCUUUCAAAAGCUCAAGAUAGCUUUGACUAUGGCACCGUUAUUGGUUUUGCCCACAUGUUUAGGGCCAUAUACAGUUUAUUGUUACAUAUCUCGUAUUGGACUUGGAAUGGUGUUGAUGCACAAUCACAAGGUCAUUUCUUACGCUUCACGACAGUUUAAGAUUCAUGAAAAAAAUUAUCCAAUUCCUUAUAGAGAGUUAGCAUCUGUUGUUCACGCGUUGAAGAUUUGGAGGCAUUAUUUAUAUGGCAUAUAAUGUGAGGUGUUCAUGGAUCACAAGAGUUUGCAACACUUGUUCAAGCAGAAGAAGCUAACCUUAAGGUGAAAUACUAUGAUAUCACCAUCUUAUAUCAUUUGGGGAGGGCCAAUGUGGUGGCCAAUGCUUAGAGUCAACUAGCAUGGGUAGUCUUGUGUAUAUUUCGGUCGAUGAGAGACCGCUUGCUUUAGAUGUAUUGGCUUUGGCCAAUCAGUUUGUAAGGUUGGAUGUCUUUUAGACUAGUCAUGUGUUAGCUUGCAUAGUCGCUCGCUUUUUAUUAUUGGAGCAUAUAAAAAUCUACAGUAUGAUGAUCCCUAUUUGUGUGUCCUAAAGGAUGCGGUGCAGCACAGUGGUUCGAAGUAGGUCACUGUUGGGGAUGAUGGACUUAUGAGGUAGUAUUUGUGUGCCUAAUGUAGAUGGACUUUGAGAGUUGAUUCUAGAGGUGGACCAUAAUUCAGGUUGAGGAGGGUGAAGAAGGAUAUUGUUGUAUAUUUGGCUCGAUGUUUGAUUUGUCAGCAAGUAAACUACUAGCAUUAGAUACUUGGUGAUUUGUUUAAGAAGAUUAAGCUUCCCGAGUGGAAGUAGGAGAGUAUGUUUAUGGACUUUGUUGUUGGACUUCCACGGACUCAGAAGAAGUUGGAUGUAGUGUGGUUAUUGUCGAUGGGAUGACCAAGUUAGCACAUUUUAUUCCUAUGGCUACCUCAUAUUCUUCUAAGAGGUUAGCGGAGACCUAUAUUCAGGAGAUUGUUUGCCUUCAUAGUGUGCCCGUGUCUAUCAUUUCUUAUUGAGGUACGCAGUUUACCUCGUAGUUAUUAGGGUUGUUCAGCAUGAGUUGGGCACAUAGGUUGAGGUGAGCACAACAUUUCAUCUUCAGAAUGAGGGGCAGUCGAAGCGUACUAUUCAUAUUUUGCAGGAUAUGCUCUAAGCUUGUGUAAUUGAAUUUGGAGGAUCGUUGUAUUUAACAGAGUUUGCCUACAACAACAGUUACCAGUCGAGCAUUCAGAUGGCUCAUUAUAAGGUAUUAUAUGGCAGGCGGUGUCGCUUGAUGGUCGUGUCUUUUGAGCUGAGAGUGGAUCUAUUUUUGGGUAACGAUCUAGUACAGGAUGCCUUGGACAAGGUUAGGAUCAUUCAAGAUAGGGUUCGUAAAGCUCAGUCCAGGAAAACGAGUAACACAGACCGUAAGGCUCCUGAUGUGGCAUUCAUGGUUAGCGUACGGGUGUUGCUUCGGGUGUCACCUAUGAAGGGCGCGAUGAGAUUUGGAAAUAAGAGCAAGCUUAGACCUAGAUUCAUUGGCCCGUUUGUUAUUCUUGAUCGAGUGGGAGAGGUGGCUUAAAGACCUGGGCUACUGCCAAAUUUAUUAGUUCUGCAAAAGUGUUUUAUGUGUCCAUGCUUCGGAAGUAUCACGAUAAUCCACCCCACGAGUUAGAUUUCAACAUUUUCCUAUUUGUCAAGGACUUGUCUUAUGAGGAGGAGCGGGUAGCUAUUCUAGAUAGGAAGGUUCCUUAGUUGAGAUUGAAGAGUUUCCAUCUCUUCGUGUUCAGUGGACAGGUCAGCCUGUUGAGGCAUCGACUUGGGAGUCCGAUUUGAUAUGCAGAGUUGUAAUCCCUACUUUUUCCCCGACUCAUUCUUAUGUGUGUUCGAGGACGAACAUUUGUGUCUAUGGUAGAGAAUGUGAUGACUAAAAGCUUAUCACUUGUAUUACAAAAAAUCCUGUGUUGUGAGGCCUUAAAACCUCUUGUUUGCCUUUCUUGAUUUGCGUUCGCAAUUCGGGCAUGUAUCCGAUAAAGCCAUUAUGUGAAAAUCCAUGAAAAAAUGAUAAAUUUUUCUUUAAAAAUAAAUUUAUGCUGACUUCGAUUAAAAUUUUGGGUAAACCGAAUUAGACCCAUGAUAUGAUGGUCCCGAAGGGUCCGUUAGAGAACGUGGGACUUGGGCAUAUGCCCGAAAUUUUAAGAGUUUUUUAAAUUAUAAUGUAUUGGAAUUUAAUGGUAUCAUGCCGUAUUUUGGUUCUGGAAUCCGAUACAUGUCUUAUAUGGUAUUUCAGUUGAGCUUAUAAAAUUUUGUAAGAAAUUGACUUUAUAUUUCUUGAAUCGGACCUUCGGUUGUUAAAAUUUGAACUUAAGUGUUUGUGAGAUUUUUCAUUGCUUUUGAUGAUAAAUUCAUUAUUACUGACGUUGUUUUGAUAAUUUGACCGCACGAUAAAGUCCUUAUGAUGUUUUUUGACUUGUGUGCAUGUUUGGUUUAAAGCCCCCAGGGCUCGGGUCACGGAUUGAAAUUGGACUUAGGAAACUGCUUGUGUGUUGCAGGUCUACAGGCUUCGAAAUUCCGAAGCCUAGCUCGCAAAUGCAAUCUUGCCUCUGCGAAGUUGUAUCGCAAAUGCGAAGAUGGCCCGAGAAGGCAUUGAUCGCAAAUGCGAAUAUUUCAUGGCAAAUGUGAAAAGCCAGUGUCACAAAUGUGACUAAUUCUUCGCAACUAAAGUGGUUGCAAUUGCGACAUUAGAGACCUAAACAUAUUUUUCUCCCUUUUUCAAACCUUCUCAAAACCUAAACACUUUUGUAUGAUUUCCCAAGGAAAAUCUCCAAACCAAUUAUAAGUCUUUUCAAACUCAUUUUCUUUAAUCUAUAACAUCUUUUUACAUGAUUUCAAUCUAAAAUCAAGGGAUUUCAUGGUGAAACUUGGAUGUUUUGGGUAGAACUUAGGAUUUUCAAAUUUUGGGGAGUUGGACCUCGAUUUGUGGGUGAAUGGGUGAUCGGGUUUUUGUUGGAAACUCGGGUUUUGACCAUGUGGGCCUAGGGUGCAUUUUUGACAUUUGGGGAAAAAACUUAGAAAACUUAUUUUCAUGCAUUAUAAUUGAUUCAUUUAGCAUUUGUUAAUGUAGUUAAGUAUUUUGUGACUAGAUACAAGCAUAUUGAUGGUUGAAACAAGAGGUAAAGCGGUAGCUGAGGGUUCAAUUAAGUUUGUGGCAUCAAUAUAAGUGUUUGGUCUAACCUUAGCUUGAGGGAUUAGGAGUUGUGUCUUAUUUUCUAUGUGUUAAUUUUGUAGUAUGACAUAUAGGCAUGGUGACGAGUAUCUAUUCAUUAGUGUCAAACAUGUCUGUCUUAUAUUAUGAUUAAUAUGCUCUGUCUCAUAUUGUUCAUGCUUUAUAUGAUAAUUUUUAUUGUUGAACAAGGCAUGUGGAAGUAUUAUUGGAAAUUUAACAUUGUAGAGCAUGGGGUCGAGUUGUGAAUUGAGAUAUGAAGUAAAUGUAGAAAGAGAAGAGGUUUAUGAUAUUGUCUCCCUUGCUGGGAUGUUGUUAAUAUUUUUAUUAUCUCCCUUGCCGGGAUGUUAUUUCUUUUGAUAUUCUUUCACUUGCCGAGAUAUGGUUGUUAUACUAUUAUUCCCUUUCUGAGAUAUUAUUGUGAUUUUAUUGAUUCCCUUACUCUUAUUACUUUGUGAUUUUUAUUCGGGAAGGAAGAGUGUCAAAGCAUGAAGGGUGAUGUUGUGCAUGAUAUUUGUGAGAGCGUGUUAAUGCACGAAGUUGAUCUCGUGCCAAUAUUGUAAGGUUAAACCAGGGUGAUGUCGUGCCACAUAAUGUACAAUUUCGUGCCAUGAUAUGAGUGAUAAUGCAUGAAGGAUUAUUGUUUGUCGUGAUUAUGUGAGGUAAAACCACAAUCGGUGAUGUCGUGCCUAUUACAUUGAUUCUUAUAGUGAGGACAAGAGUAAAAGCUCGAAGGGUGAUGAUGUGCACUUGUCUUUGGUUUCCUGAUUCAUAUUGAAAAUAUUUCAUUACAUUUAUUUAUGCAUUGUCUAUUGUUUCCCGCAUUACGAAUCCCUUUUCUAUAUUAUCUUUUAAAUUCCUGCCUUUAUUUUUUGCUGUAUAUGAUUUAACUGCACUAGUUUAUUUGGUAGUCUGGUCCUAGCCUCAUCACUACUUGGUCGAGGUUAGGCUAGGCACUUACCAGCACAUGGGGUCGGUUGUGUUGAUACUACACUCUGUACUGUGUGCAGAUCCUGUUGCUGCAGCUAUAGGACUGUAGUGACGUUGCUUCCUUCAGUCCAUUCACGCAACCUGAGGUUUCCUUUCUGUUUGUACUUAUUCAGAGACAGAUUCCUAUAUUUCUUUUCGGAAUUUGUUUUUAGAUUUCAUAGAUGGUCUGUAAUGUUAUGACACCAGUUCUGGCUAGAGCUAUACUUAGACUUCUGUAGCUUUUAUUAAUCUAAGUUAUCAAAUUUUGUUUUCCGCACAAUUUUUUUAUUGUUAUUUUCGCUACUUUUGUUAUGUUGUUUUGGAUUGCUAAGGGAUUAAAAAAUGGCUAAAUAAUUACAAUAAUUGGCUUGCCUAGCUUUCAUUAGUAGGUGCCAUCAUGACUCCCGAGUGUGGGAAACCCGGGUUGUGACACAUAGACCGUCCAUAGUGUUCACAUAUCAUAAACCAAUGCAUUUCAUAGACCAUAAAAAAUAUCACCUAUACAAUGCGUUUGUGUGUUUCAUAGACCUUCCACAGUAUCACCUAUCUAAUACAAAUGUGUGUUUCAUAGACCGUCUACGGUAUCACAUAUUAUACACCUAUCUGUAUCACAAACCGUUCACAUUGUUUCCUUACACAAUUCAUAUGCGUUUUUCAUACACGAUUCAUAGUGUUUACUUACACAAUACACAUCCGCAUUUCAUAGAUGUUCACAGUGUUUACGUACAAAACACAUGUGCGUUUCAUAGAGUGUUCACAUUGUCUACGUAAAAAACACACAUGUGCAUUUCAUACACUGUUCACAUAAAAAAUACCUCUUUGCGUUUCAUAGAUUGUUCAUAGUGUUUAAUUACACAAUACACCUGCGUGUUUCAUAGACCGUUCACAAUGUUUACCUACAUAAUACACCUGUGCGUUUCAUACACUGUUCAAAGUGUUUGCUAAUGCAAUACACAUGUGCAUUUUAUAGAGCGUUCACAGUGUUUACUUACACAAUAUAAAUGUGUCUUUCAUAGACCUAUUACAAUAUUUCCUUAUACAAUACACAUGUGCAUUUUGUAGACCUUUCAUAGUAUUCAUAACACAUAAUUAUGCACACAACCAUAUAUAAACUGAAGCGACAUUACUAACAAUACUUUAAAGGUCGUAAGUUCCUGGAUCAUUGGAACACUUCAUGUUCAUUCUCAUCAAGGAAAAACAUAGUUGAUUACAUUAACAUGUAUGCUGAAUAGAUAAUUCAAUUUCAAUGGUCGAUGACCCAAAUUCAUUUUCAAAAGAUUUAUCAUUAUUCAGCAUAAGACAUCUCUCUUCAUCUAAUUAUUCACUCGCUUAUCAUCUUAAGCUCAUUAGCUAUGUUCAAAAUUCAUGGGGACUUAACGAUGAAGUCAUUUACAUUAAAUAUUUUAUUAGAUUGCAUGCUAUGAUUGAAACCAUUGGGGCAUACAACACAUCAUAACUCCCAUGUUGGCAAACGGCCACAUUUCAUAGUCAUACUACUACUUACUUGUACUUGCCAUGGGUGAUCGCAAGGCAACAUGAAUGUUUAAAAUAUUUAGGAAUACCAUAGCCUCUCGACAUGAAGGCUUAGGAGCUUAUAACACAUUGGAAACGUAGGUAAAAAUAUGUUCAUCUCAUAACCUUUCACACCAUAUAUCAUUUCACAAUUACUUUCAACUAUUUACAACAUAAUUAUUUCAUUGGCUCCCUUUGCCAUACAUAUUAUGCUUUAUUCAUGGCAUUGUGGUCGUAUAUCGUAUUCCGAACUUUCAUUUCUAUUCUUUCAAGGAUUAUUAUCAUAAACGUCGUCAUAUAAAAUAUACUUGAAACACCUUUACCAUAACGGGCAAUACACAAUUUCGACUCAUGAAUAUGUAAGAAGUCAAAGCAUAUUAGAAAUACCUACUAAGCAUAGCAUUAGUUAGAACAACCACAUUUAUACAUCACUUAAGUACAUAAGAUUUUGGAUAAUUCUAUUUUUGGAGUCAACUUUUAUUAUUUUAAUCAAGUCUCAUUUCAUAUUAUUUCAUACAUCAUUUCAUUUUAUUGGCGCUAUUGGCCAUAUUUAUAACUUUCAUUCUUGGAACGAUGUCCACACUAUAUAUAUCGAACUCACAACAUUCACUUUCAAGAAUCUAUAUAAAUUAUCGAUAAUAAAACAUCUUUAAUCACAACUGUUAGUAAACCAUAAUGAAUUAAGAGUCUGUCACAACCUGAACCCCGAUUCGGUUAUGAUGGCUCCUCUAGUGAAGACAGUGCCAGCUAACCAACCCAUUUUCGCCCUUUCAGAAAAGCUAUUAUUAGUAAAUAAUCUUAGCAUCAUUUAAAUAACCACAGUCUAUACAAAAGGGUUCUUUAUAAGUGCGGAAUAAAGUCCAACACAACGGUGUCACCAGUCACGAGCAUGUAUUUGAGUAUAAAUAAAACAACAAGGCCUGAAGUAUUUAAAAUAGAAUUGAUAAACAAAAGGAAGAAAUACGACGCGGCGAACGUUGGCAAUCACCUCGCUAAACUCAGAUAACUUAGCCUCCGAUCAACUCAAAACCCGCUACUGGGUGAACAAAUACCCGUAUCUGCACACAAGGUACAAGGAGUAAAGUUAGUACUCCAACUCAGUGAGUAAUAAAGGUAGAUAAUAACUCAGUAGUAAGAAAUCACGUAAGACAAACCAUCAUGUUGUAUAGUGCAGUGUAAAAAGUUUUUGAGAAUAAAUAAUAAAGAUGUGAAAUCUUUGAAAAAAAUGUCUUAGCUAUGUAUAAGACUCUUUUGAAAAUGGCUUUUUCCACUGUUAUGCAAAUGAGUGCAAAACAAAUAGUGCAGAUAAGCAUAGAAAUCUACCCCUCGGGCACAACACUGACUCAACAGAUAAUACCAGACAAUCGGGUAGAUACCACGUGAAGAAGCACCGAUUAUAGAUAAUGGAAGGAAAAUGAAGCAAGUAAACACAUAGAUCAGUAUCAUACAGUAACCGAUGGGGCAUCCAUCCCGAUUCAUAUCUCAUUACGGCGUGCAUCCCGAUCCGUACAUCACUUCAGCAUGCAUUUCGAUCCAUAUAUUUCAUCGACGAUGCUCACUAGGGAAGGGCAGACUCCGAGAGGGACCCCUUACCACCCAAGUGCAAAUAUGAAGCUAUCUCAUGGUAUCAAAUCCAGUUCCUGGACCUCAUAUCCGUACUAGUAUAACACUGUUGCAACGUACAGCCUGAUCCCAUAGUAUCCUCUCUACACAAGCCCUCAUCCUCACUCAGUCAGAAAAAAAUUAUCACAAGCCCCUUGGGCAUUUGUAAAAUAGUAGUUCUUAGCCCAAAAAAUCAAAUAGAAAUAUCAUUUAAGUCUCAAAACUUAGUAAUAUGGCUGAGUUGUAAAACAGAGGAAAACAACAUGAUUGACCUCACGCAAUAAGUCAAAAUAGUAACGAAACAGUGAUAAUUAUCCCGAAACAAUUUAAAUAGUUGCACGAAGCCCAAAUAUGGCAAUUAGCCAAAAUCAUGAUGAUAACAAGAAAAUUUCAGUCAAAUACACCGUAAAAUAAUUAAUCAAGACGAACCAAGCAAAAAUCCCCAAUGGUGAUCUACCCCAUGCUCGCUAUCUAGCAUGCAAGUCUUGUCAAUUUAGCACUACGAUGUGCAAUCGGGGUUUCAAACCCUCAAACAUCAUUUACAAUCAUUACUCACCUCGAACUAGUGAAAUCACUAGCUUGCAACACCUUUCCCCUAAUAUCGGCUUCCACGCACGUUGAAUCUAUACAACAUAAGAGUGAAUAUAUCACAUUAUGCUAAUGGAACAAAGCCCAAGAAAAAACAAUCAAUAACUCACACAAUACCCAAAUUUACCAAAACCCAAGCAUCAGGCCCACAUCUUCGAACUCAGAAAUUUUCACAUCAAUACAUUCCUUAUCUUCCCACGGGUUCAUACCUAUCAAAAGUUCUUAAUUCGACCACAAAUAGUCCUUCAAAUCCCAAUUCAAUAGUUCAAAAUCCCAACCUAGUUCUUCCAUUUUUAGAUUAAGUUCCGCGAAUUUCUAGGUGGAUUUCACAAUAUAAUCGAGUUUCGAGUCGAAUAUUCCUACCUCAAGUUGUUUCCCCUUGAAUCCCUCUUCAAUAUUCUUAAAUCAUCUCUCAAGAUGAGCAGCAAUGGGUGAAAAUAAACCCAAUUUCGCGAACAAGAUGACUUUAAAAUAUUCUGUCCAAACAUAUUUUCUUCUAUGCGAUCGCGGGAAAACCUUCGCUAUCGCGAAGGAUAAAAAUCUGUCCUCCGAUUUAACUCUAUGCUAAUGCAAAAGAAUCCAUGAAAAUGCGAUGCACAACCGUAUAAAACUAUGCAAUCACGGACCACCCUCCGCGUUCGCAAUAAACAUUUUCCAACCAAUACCUCAUGUCCACUUUAUUCUAUGCGAACACGACCUGCCCUACUCGUUCGCAAUCAACGAUUUGAUCGCAUCCCUAGCUUUGCGAAUACCAAGAACAAUUUAACUAAUCCCUCCAAGGCUUCUAUGCGAUCACGAGAGAACCAACGCGAUCGCAAUGAACAAAAAUCUAACAACUGAAAUCUACAAUUUUCUUAAGUUCUCAAAACAUGAAAUUGAUCUGCUUAACCUCCCAAAACACACCUGAGGCCCUUGAGACCUUAACCAAACCUACCAACAUAGCCCAUAUAAUCAUUCAAACUUGUUCCAAUCAACAAAACACCUGACGCAAAAUCAAAUUACUCAAAACUCAUCGAAUUCAAUCCUAUCGUUCCAACAUCUUCCAAAAUACACUUUCGAUCAAAAACCUUACCAAACGACGUCCGAAUGACCUAAAAUUUCGCACACUUCAAAUGACAUAAUGAGACUACUGCAACUCUCGAAACUCUAUUCCGACUCCCGGAAAAAAAUCUCACAUACCAACCGAAAAUUGCAAAAAUCUCAACUUCACCAAUUCAAGCCAAAUUCUACUUGGGACCUGCAAAAGAAAUUCCAAUCACGCUCCUAAGUCUUAAAUCUCCCAAGGAAGCUAACAAAAUCAUAAAAAUUCUAAUCCAAGCUCAUAUACAAAUUUGUCAAAUUUUGGUCAAACCUUUCAACUGAUAUCAGUCUUUUAAUUUCAUUUAGAUUUUCCUGAAAAAAAAAUCAACGAUCUACAUCGGCUAUAAUCCAUUACACGAGGCAAGUCGUGCUGGAGAACUGGAUAUCAGUGUCUAAAAGCUCAAAACGACAGGUCAGGUCAUUAUAUCCUUCCCCACUUAAACUCACGUUCGUCCUCGAACGUAACCAGAGUUGUUCUAAAAGCUAACCAAUUGUUGAAUAACCUUACCAUGCGUAUACCCGGGGCGAUCCCACGUAACCCUAUCUCAUAUAGGUCCGAUAACAUAUUUUUAGAUGAAAUUACACAAUCUAGUGUAGCCAAUAAAUCGUAGAACCACAUUUUCACUUCUCAAACAAUAAAUAUGAUUAAAACCUCACACCUAUACUCGGAAUUGGCACGAACCAGCGGUAAUAACCCUUGCCUGCAACCUCAAGUGCAAAUAUCUUAUAUACCACAUAACUCAAACACAUGUAGUGAUAACUUCCAUCAACAGUAGCUGCACAUAGUACCCGAAUUUCGGUAGAAUACAUCGUAUCAACUAAAGUCUCAUUCCAACACUUCCAGAUACUGACAAUGAUAAAUGAAACACACAAUAAACCAUAGCCAUUUCUCAGAUCAACUAUCUAUAAGGUUACUUCUCCUAUGGCAAGGACCAUAGCAAAUUUGUGAAACGAACCUCGAUAUUUAUCCAUCAAACAUGUUGAAAUCGAAUCCGUUUGUAUUCAUUACAAACCUCAACGACCUCAUUUAAUCCAACACAAUUACUCUGGUGACAUGACACACCAAGACAGGCUAAAUGCAUAACUUGCUCAAGCCGCGCAUCAAUAAGAAACAAUCCGAACAUACUCACAUUAUGAAACUAACUCAAAUGAAAGAGUUGUACAUAAAGCUCAGCAGUAUCAUCAAAACAUACGACUCAGAACCCGUCUCGCAUAAUAGAAAUAGAACACAUGAAUCUGUCCCGCAAGUUCGUAUCUCCAUAUAGCUUCGCUGUAAAUGCGUGAUCCUAUCCAAACACCGUUCCACAUGAAACACCUUAAGCACUAUGAUUGAAAUUGACAACCGCGCACAAUUUGAUGCCCUGAACCAAAGAAAAUCGCUACACCCACGGAGAACAAGUAACCUAUACCAUGAAGAAAACCGAUAGGACAUAACCGAUACGCCAUCCAUCGAGCAACACCCAAUUACUUUUACCGCUCGACUUUCACUAUGAACCCCAAUAGAACCGAACCAUAUGUGACCAUAACCAACAACUAAUAAUGUCUCGCACCACAAAAAGGUCACUCAUAGAUCUCCCAGAUCACUAGUAAGAUCAAUAAUGGUCGAAUCAACCUAUCCUUCAACAAUACAUUUUGGAGUAAACCAAGCCGACUAAAGCUACAACGUGAUCCACAUUAGCCUAACGACGAACUAUUUAUCAAGGAAAUCCUAAAGUUGUUCCUUCCGCUACAAUAACUCAUGUCGAUGCAAUACGAUGCAUUUCUUGGCACCAAAUCAAUACCGAAAUCCAUUACCUCGCUCGGAAACAUACCUGCCAUACGAAAUAUGUCCAAAAAGAACCUCAACACCGGAACUGAAUCAAUAUCAGGAGCAUCAGCACUAACACUCAUCACAAAAGCCCAAGUAAUAAACACCAUCCUUCCCAGCCAUCCGCUGGGUCUUCGAAAUAUAAAACCUCUCUACUAGGAUAUACUCCGACGCACCUCGCAACUCAACCUCUGGCAUUUUCGACGUAGCCCGUAGUGUAAUAGUAUAGAAUAAUACAACACAGGGACAACCAAUCUAACCCAAAUAUCAUAUCCAAUAUCUAACAUAUGAAGCAUCAAACAAUCCACUCGGGCAUCCCAAAUCCCGAUAGUCGCUAAACAGUGCCGAUACACACAGUUUAAAACCACAACAUAUCCUGAAUAUAAGAACUUCUGUCUCCAAUCUACACGACACAUGAAUCACCAUAUCCAAUCCCAAUUCUAUCGUCCAAAUACAUGCCAUGCCUCUAAUACAAAGUCAUUUCACGAGAGAUACUAAUAAAUUCUUCUAUGCCACCAAGCAAACUCGAAUGUCAGCAGUCGAUCCAGCCUGAAAAUGCCGCAAUACUACCGAAGUGCCAGCAACUUAAUCAUAUUGACCUGUUUUUGAAACAUAUACUCUUGUCAAAUCACUUCCAAUUAACAAUACCAUUUCUUUGAAAAUCUAAGGCUACCUACUGCCUAAGAGUUUUAUGAACUUCCUUUCUGAACUUAAUUAAUACCUCACACACGCAAAUCUUGAUCCUCCACAACAACCCACAUAUACCACACCAUCUCACUAUAACAUACAAAAUUUAUCUCCCUUCCAAGCCAUAGACAUCUACGUACUCAACUAGUCCAGACCCUUCCAUUGGUCCUAUCUAGAAGAAAAAUCACUAUACGUCCCAUGGUCUGCAUGCCCAUAGAGGAUAUACAUCUCAAAACCACGGUAAGAACCAUUAAGAGCUCUCCGAAUUCCCUUUGCUCAUAUCAGGCCUGCCAGGACUGAAUUCUUCUAACUCGACCAAGCUAAGCAAGCCAUCAAUACCUAAGAGCAUUGUUGUAAAAUACUUGUAAGAUCUCAUCGCCUCCAACACACACAAAGAAAUAAUAGUUUCCUUACCAUACUGGUCUUGUCUACUAUCAAGCUACUCCAGCUAUCUUUUCUUUUGAUUCACCUUCAACUUGAUAUUCCCUAUUUCUAUAGCGACACAAUUCCUCGACUCUCCACAUGAGACCCAAGAAUAAAACCACACUGUCUGAGACCCAUAAGCCGUUGAAUACUCUCUCAAUCAUUCUCAAAAACACCACAUUCAAGAAUACAUUACUCUAAAGAACUUCUUGUGAAUUUGAUUGUGUUACCCUUGCCUUCCCGAUAGUGAUACAUAGAAUCCCAUAAUAACAUAGAACUACCACAAGUCUUGACCUCUUCCAAUUAAAACACAGUUUCUAACAACAUAUAUAACCUUAAGAUACCCGAUUAUUCCCUAUAGAAUCUUGAACACAUUAGAACCAUUCUCGAGAGUCAUUCACUCUUAUUCAACUGCAAUUCACCUAGCCUAAUAAAUAGAAACACCCAUGCUUCAUUGGCACUCCGGCGCCGCAGAAUGAAAUCCUCAUCCAAAUACAACCAAGCAACUUCAUGCUCUAUGCACCAAGCCUUGUUUACCAACAACAACUUAAGACAUCCUAUGAUUCUCUUACCCUAUGAAGCAUAAUAUGACCUUUGCCAAAAUUCUACCUUUACUCGAACCAUCUUCGGUCUCAAUCUCCACUAUCCAUAACAAAUUUGCCCGCAUGCCUCAAACUGGAACAAACAUAGCACCUAAUCGUGAAACAAACUACUCAUCGCAGACUCCCCCACUUGGCUCGGAGUCGUAGAUCAAAAUACAUUGGAUAACUCAUAAAACUUAUAUCCUAUUGAUGCCACAAUACCAUGGUGAGAUUAAACUCAAAUCCUUUGUAAGCGUGUGUAAACAAAGAAUAUCUAGUACUUUAAAUAUUUGGCAAAUCUUGCAUUUAUUCUCACAACAAUUAAGCCCACUCUCUUAAGUGACCCAAAAAUUCAAAUUUCAACACUUACAUUUCACUUGCACUGAGGCUUUUUAACGGUCACACAAGGGUCACACAACCCCAGAACACCCCGCAGGAGAUAACCACCUGCCUUGCCUCCAAUUAACAUUUCUACAUUCCUUCGACCGUCAUUAACUGUACGCAAUUACUUAGUGUUCCUAAGUCAGAACUCAUACUGCAACAUUAAAUUUACUUCUCUCACAAAUGGGAAACAUGAAAACAUCAUUCACAUGCCUAUAACUCAGGGCUAUACCUCGAAUCAAGAUGAUUUCCAACACCUAAUAGCUUUUUUAUCCUCUAGCAGGCCUUCCUUUCCAUUUCCAAGUUAUAUAGAUAUAUCUCUCAGUACUAACAUACUCAUCACAUAGUUAUCCAGCCGUCACUACUACUAAGAGGGACAAUACUGAACAUACAAAUUCAAAACACUUGCUCACACAAUCAGCACCUGGGUGCUGAAGCCAUCGGCAAAGAUCCGCCCUCAAGUCCUCCAGACUAGCCCAAUAUCAAACUUACAGAGAUCACAUCUCGCCCCUCGAUUAGGGAAUAAUAAUCCAUCAAGGCACAUUUGACAUUGAGCGCUCAUGCACGCAUACGAACGCAUGGAAGGAAUUUCAGGACAUACAUUUCAAGUUGAAUCAAGGAGGCACAUUGAGAAUUCAAGAAUGGGGAGCUUUAGUAAGGGUUAUGGAUCCUCUCUAGGAUAAAUACAAAUGUUUUCGUACUGAUCGGCUAGACUCUACUAAUAUUGCUCAUGACUCGUAAUACCUAGUAACCUAGGCUCUAAUACUAACUUAUCACGGCCCAAACCUCGAUCCAAUCAUGAUAGCGCCUCUCAUGAAGGCAAGACCAACCAACCCAUUUUGCCCUUUCAGAAUAGAUAAUAUUAAUAAACAAUUUUAGCAUGAUUUAAAAAACAACAGUCCAUACAAAAGUUUUCUUUACAAAGUGCAGAAUACAGUCCAACACCCAGGUGUCACAAGUCACGAGCAUCUAUUAGAGUAUAAAUACAACAACAAGGCCUGAAAUAUUUAAAAUAGGACUGAUAAACAAAAGGAAGAAAUGCGAUGUUGCGAACGCUGACAGCCACCUCGCUAAACUCCGAUAACUUAGCCUCCGAUCAUCUAAAAACCUGCUAUUGGGUGAACAAAUAGCUGCAUCUACACAAAAAGAGUAGGGCGUAAAGUGAGUGCUCCAACUUAGUGAGCAAUAAAGGUAAAUAAUAACUGAGCACUAAGAUGUCACGUAAGGAAAACCAUCAUGUUGUAUUGUGCAGUGUAAAACCUUUUGAGAAAAACAAUGAAGCUAUGAAAUCUUAGGAAAAAAAUGCCUUAGAUCUGCUUAAGACUUUUGAAAAUGGAUUUUUCAACAAUUAUGCAAGUGUAUACAAAACAAAUAUUGAAGAUAAGCAUAGAAAUCUGCCCCUCGGGCACUACACUCACACAACAGAUAAUGUUAGACAAUCGGGAAGAUACCAUGUGAUGAAGCACAAAAAACUUAUAAUGGCAAACAAAUGAAGCAAGUAAAUACAUAGAUCAUUAUCAUAUAGUAAUCGUUGCGGCAUGCAGCCAAUCCAUAUAUCGUUGUUGCGUGCAACCUGAUCCAUACAUCGUUGUGGAAUGCAGAUCGAUCAAUAUAUUUCAGCGACGACGCUCACUAGGGGUAUGCAGACUUCAGGAGGGGCCCUUGUAGCCCAAGCACAAAUACCAAGCCAUCUCGUGGAAUCAGAUCCAUGCCCUCAACCUCAUAUCAUUACAAGUAUGAAACUGAUGCGGCGCACAGCCUGAUCCCAUAGUAUCAUCUCUGAACAGGCCAUUGGCCUCACUCAGUCAGAUAAAAAUCAUCACAAGCCCUUCAGUCACUUGUAAAAUAGUAAUUCUUCGCCCAAAACAUAAUUUAUAAAUAUCGAUUAAGUCUCAAAACUAAGUAAAAUGGUUGAGUUUUAAAAUAGUGAAAAUCAGCAUGACUAAGUUCAAGCAAUAAGUAAGAACAGUGAGGAAAUCGUGAUAAUAAUCCCCAAAAGGUUUACAUAGUUGGAACGAAGCCCAAAUAUGUCAAUCAGCCCAAAUCAUGAUGAUAACAAGUAAAUUCCUGUCAAAUACACAGUAAAAUCAUUAAUCGUGACGGACCAAGUCACGAUCCCCAAUGGUGCUCUACCCCACGCUCGCUAUCUGACGUGUAAGCCACCUUAAUAUAGCACUAUGAUGUGUAAUCCAAGGUUUCAAACCCUCUGAAUAUCAUUUACAAUCAUUAGUCACCUCGAACUGACAAAAUCUCUAGCUCGCGACGCCCCUACCUCUCAAAUCGGCAUCCACGCGCGUCGAAUCUAUCCAAAAUCAGAGCAAAUACAUCAUAAUAUGCUAAAGGAACAAAGCCCAAGCGAAAACAAUCAAUAACGCGUACAAUUCCCAAAAUUACCAAGUCGUUCCCUCUUUAAUCCUUAUUUAAUAUUCUUCAAAAAUCUCUCAAGAUAAAUAGCAAUGUGUGAAAAUAGACCCACAUUCGCGAACAAUAUGACUUUAAGACAUUCUGCCAGGGAUAUAUUCUUCUAUGCAAUCGCGAGAAAACCUUCUCGAUCAUGAACCAUAAAAUUGCAUCUUCUAAUUUAACUCUAUGCGAACGCAACAGAACUCUUGCGAACGCGACGCAUGCCAUAUCACGGACCGCCCUCUACGUUUGCGAUGAACAAUUUCAAACCAAUACCCCAAGUCCACUUUACUCUAUGCAGACACGACUAACCCUGCACGUUUGUGACCUACUUGUGUGAAUGUGAAGAACAACUUAACUACUCCCUUCAAGGGUUCUAUGAGAUCGCAAGAGAGACAACACGAUCGCAAUGAAAAAAAAUCUAGCAACUGAAACCUGCAAUUUUCUGAAGUUCUCAAAACGUGAAAUUGAUCCGCUUAACCUCCUGAAACACAUUCGAGACCCUCGGGACGUCAACCAAACCUAAAAACAUAACGCAUAACAAAAUUCAAACUUCAUAACAAAAUUCAAACUUGUUCCAAUCAUGAAAACACCUCAAGCAACAUCAAAUUCAAGACUAAGUUUCCAAAAACUUCUGAACUACACUUUCGAUCAAAAACUCGACCAGCAACAUCCAAAUGACCUGAUAUUUUGCACACACAUUCCAAAAUGACAUAAAUAUGCUACUACAACUAUCGAAAUUCCAUACCAACACUUGUAUCAAAAUCUCACCUGCCAACCGGAAAUCGCCAAAAUCUCUACUUCACUAAUUCAAGCCAACUUUUACUCUGGACCUCCAAAACAAAUUCUGAUCACACUCCAAAGUCUUAAAUCACCCAAUGAAGCUAACCAAAUCAUAAAAAUUUCGAUUUGAGCUCAUAUACAAAUAAGUAAACUCUUGGUCAAAUCUUUCAAAUUCAAACAUUCAACUGAAACUGUUCUUUCAAAUUCAUUCCGAUUUUCAAAAAACCAAAACCAACGAGCUACAAUAGUCAUAAUAAAUUACGCAGGUCAAGUCAUUCCCGAGAACUGAAAAUCAAAUUUCAAAAGCUCAAAACGACCAGUCGGGUCGUAAUAGAGUCUUAAUCACACAAAUAUUUCUUACACAAUUGAGCAUAAUAGCCUUUACUUGAAACACGACUUGAAGUCAUAUCAUUUUAGUACCCCACUCAUUUUUUGAACUAACUCCUAAAGGAUAACAUCAAAUAAAAAGAGCAUCCAGAACACAUUGUGAACAUAUACCUUUCAACACAAAGCUUGUUCGUAAUAGUUAAUAUAUAACGAAUAAUUUGGUACUUGCAUGAACAUCGUGGUAUUCAAAUAGAAACGUUUAGUGAAGCAUACCUUGUUUAAUCUUUCCUUAUGAUAAACGUUCCGGAAAUUCUAGCAAUUCUAAUAUAUUUUGAGACAUUGAAAUAUAUAACAAAAAUUAGGAAUAUAUUCAUGUUUUCAGCCCAGCAAUCCUUGCAUAUUUGAGCUCAAAAAUCUUCCCAAAAAGCUUAUUGGUUCAUACAUGUAUAAAUAAUACUCUCACACUCAAGAAUCAUACUCUUAAUUAACAAUGUUCCACCAUAUUCUGAAAUUGAAAACUAAGGAAUGGAGCCAUACCUCUUAGAUGAAGAACUUGAGGGAUUUCUUGUUUGAUUUCAAGGCUUGGAGAAGAUCUUUAUGGACAAAGAAUAUUAGCUUCUUCGUAUCUCUAUAAUGCUCUCAAUUCUCUUUAAAAAUAUCAUAUUUUUCCCCAAAAUGAGCUUUAAGUUAUACUUACCGAAGUUGGGUCGAUUUAGAAUACAAUUAUUCUAAAGGAUUAACUAAAAUCUAAAUCAACAAGUGCUAAUGACAAAACAAUACAAUUAUGCAUCAACUGGUCUAGCUAGAACAAAAUUAUAAAAAAAUCAGAACAAGAAUCAAACCCAAGGAAUAAACACGGAUUUCCCUCCCACAAAUAGCCUCAAACUAAUAAAAUCCUCAAACUAAUAACAUCAGCCAAGAUAGAACAAUGAACAAAAAAUAAAAGAUAUUUAGGAUGAGAAAAACACAAUAAGCUUAUGUAUUUAACCAAUGAAAUAUCUAUGGAUUUUACUAAACUAUAGGCUGAUAAAACAUGGACUGAGUCAAACAGAACAAGAAAGAAUGGAUCAUGAAAACCUAAACCUAUUAAAACAAACAAAAAAAAGUCUUGCAAAAAAGAUAUUUAACUAAAAUUAACGUGAUUAGAUGACUUGGCAUAAAUUCCGGGCUUUAGGAGCCACAUGCAUCGCUAAAAUAGUUCUGGCUGACUUCGAUUUAGAAUUCAAACCAGAUGAAGAUGAUUUGAGGGCCAUGAGUCAUGGAUAUAAGUUGAGAGAUGUGAGUAGACUGCACAGUGUUGAUUUGGUGGAUUUUGGAAAUGGUUAUAUUUUGGCCAGACUUUCCAAAUUAAGAUUCGAGAAGAUAUGGUGUAAUUUCAAGGAUACCGGUGUUAGAUUUGUGAUGAGAAUAUUGCGAGGAGUCUAAGGUGUAAAAUUUGGGGUGUUUGGUAGCCAGCUGCCACCAUGGACGGUGGAGCUGUCGAAUUUCGGACGAAUAUUCAACGAGAUCGGGAGAUAUUUGAGGGUAACCUAUGGUGGGGUAGGAUAGGGGAUGGUGAGGAGGAGAUGCAGUGUAGUUUUGGGGUUCAUCGGAGCUAUGCCACCGCCGACGGCAGAUGGUGGAGAGAUGAUGGGGAGAUUGUGCUGUUACACCGGAGGUCGGUUUGGUACGAGGAAGGUGAUUUUUGUCUCUAAGGGUUGUGAGUGUUAUUCAGACACUUUUAUUUAAAGUGUGAGAGCAAAUCUGGGUCGUUGGAACAAAAAGAAUGAUGGUUGAGAUCAGAUGGACGUCAAACAACGUUAAUUUGAAUCCUCUUCUGGCUAGACCGGGUAUGGGAUUUUGGAUCUGGGUUAAUUUGAUGGGUCUAGGGGUUUGGGCUCCAGAUUGUGGCCCAAAUCAUGGGUCUUUAAUUAAGAGACCCAAUUUAUGCAUUUUUCUCUUUGUAUAUUUUUAUUUAUUUUUCAGAUUUUAAUAAUAAAAAUAAAAAUAAAAUAAAACAAUUUAACUUCCACAAAAUAAGUUAAUUAACCAUCUAAAAUAACCUAAAUCCUAAAUUUAAAAGGGAAAUUAAACAAAUGUAAGAAUAACCAAUUUUUUGUUAUUUUCAAUGUUAAUUAACUAAUAAUCCAAAAGAAAAAUGUAAAAAUUAAGUCCUAAAUGCAAACAUGCUAUUUUGUAUUUUUUAUGAAUUAUAUUAAUUAUAAAUGCACAAUAUGCAAAUAAACACAUAAUCAUGCAAUUAAUUCCUAAAAAUUCAAAUAAUAAAAGGAAAAAUUCACAUAAACACAAAAUCACGCAAUUAGUUCCUAAAACUUCAAAUAAGAAAAGAAGAUUCUAAUUUAAAUGGAUUCUAUAGGAAUACUUCAAGCGAGGCAAAAAUCACGUGCUUACAGUUGCCCGUCUUAGCUUGGAGACACGAAAGGUUUUCAGGCAAAGAUAAAUGAGCAACUGAGAGAUUUUUGCCUGCCUUGCAUUCCAUGAGAAGAAAUUUGAAUACUCUCUGACCGCAACCUGCUUCCGAGGUUGCCUACAUAUCCUUUGCUAAAAAGGAAUCAGGUUAGUGUAUUUCGGGAGUGUUUGAUAGAUGGGACAACAAGUAGCUGUGAUUUCACUGCUGCCGUUGCUGCUACUGCUUCUACUACCGCUAGACCCGCUUAUUACACCAUGUGAAAAAUGAAGAAGCUAGACUAAGCUAUGAACAAGGGAUUACAAAAGAACCUAUCUACGCGUUCAAUCUUGCUCUUGAUCCUUGUUACUUUGUUAUCUUGUAGUUCUUCCUGCAAACUCCUCGUUGCCUUGUUGACUGAUAUUUCUUCCCGUAAACUCCUUUUUGCAAUAUUCCCUUAUUCUCCCGGUUGGUUCCUGAUUACCAAAACUUGAAACUUGUAAAAUAUUCCCUUAUUCUGCAGGGGCGCCUGAUUACUAAAACUUGAAAUUUUGAAAAAUAUUCCAUUAUUCUGCAGGUGGGCGCCUGAUUACCAAGACGUAAAACUUUGAAAAAGAUUCCCUUAUUAAAUACUUAAAACUUUCAUAAAUAUUCCCAUAUUUCUCCUGGUGGGUGCCUGAUUAUCAAAUCUUGAAACUGGAGGCAUAUUCCCUUGUUCUAACAGGUGGGCACCUGACUACUAAAGCUUGAAUAUUGAAAAUUAUUUCAUGGUUCUACAUAUGGGCGCCUAAUUACAAAAACUUGAACUUUGAAAAGUAUUCUCUUAUUAUCCAAGUGGAUACCUGAUUAACAAAACUUGAUACUUUGAAAAAUAUUCCCCUAUUCUCCAGGUGGGUGCCUGAUUAUCAAAACUUGAAACAUGAGAGAUAUUCCCUUGUUCUAACAGGCAGGCGCCUGACUACCAAAAUUUGAAAAUUUGAAAAGUAUUCUCUUGUUCUACAUGUGGGUGCCUGAGUAUUAAAACUUGAAGUUUAAAAAGUAUUCCCUUGUUCUACAGGUGGGUGCCUGAUUAUCAAAACUUGAAUCUUGAAAAGUAUUUCUUUGUUCUGCAGGUGGAAGCCUGAUUACAAAAACUCGAAACUUUGAAAAAUAUUCCCUUAUUCUACAAGUGGGCUCCUGAUUACAAAAGCUUGAAAUUUUGAAAAAUAGUCCCUUAUUCUGCAGGUGUUCGCCUGAUUACCAAGACUUGAAAUUUUGAAAAAGAUUCCCUUAUUCAAAACAUAAAACUUUGAAAAAUAUUCCCUUAUUCUCCAGGUGGGUGCCUGAUUAUCAAAAUUUGAAAAUUGAGAAAUAUUCCUUUGUUCUAACAGGUGGGCGCCUGACUAACAAAGUUGAAUCUUGAAAAUAUUUCCAUGGUUCUACAUGUGGGCGCCUGAUUACCAAAACUUGAAACUUUGAAAAAUAUUCCCUUAUUCUCCAGGUGGGUGCCUGAUUACCAACACUUGAACAUUGAAAAAAUUUCCCUUAUACUCCAGGUGGAUGCCUGAUUAUUAAAACUUGAAACUUGAGAGAUAUUUCGUUGUUCUAACAGGUAGGCGCCUGAUUACCAAAACAUUAAAUUUUGAAAAGUAUUCCCUUGUUCUACAUGUGGGUGCCUUAUUAUCAAAACUUGAAGCUUAAAAAGAAUUCCCUUGUUCUACAUGUGCAUUCCUGAUUAUCAAAACUUGAAGCAUGAAAUGUUUUCCCCUGUUCAAUAGGUGGGCGCCUGAUUACCAACAAUUGAAGCUUGAAAAGUAUUACCUUGUUCUACAGGUGGGCUCCUGAUUACCAAAACUUGAAUGUUUGAAAAAUAUUCCCUUAUUUUUCGGGUGGGUGCCUGAUUAUCAACACUUGCAUCUUCAAAAGUAUUCCGUUAUUCUCAAGUUUGGCGCCUGAUUACCAAAGCUUGAAUAUUAAUAAGUAUUCCCUUGCUAUACAGGUGGGCGCGUGAUUACCAAUUCUUGAUGCUUGAGAAGUACUCCCUAGUUCUACAGGUGGGCGCCUGACUACCAAUGCUCGAAGCUUGAGGAGUAUUCCAUGAGACUGCUGCCUGUGUACCUAAUUACAACAAAACAAACAAACCAAAAGUAAUUCUUCCUGCCCCAGUUAAGUGCUGGGUGGAUCUAUGAGUGUUAAUCAAAUCCCCUUACCAAAUAUCUCUAAAUAUAAACUAAGUCCCAUUAUCCAAGAGGGCCCUGACAAUUCUUCACCGAUGACAACCUUAAGACUAUGUUAUGUUUGUGAAAUGGUAUUAUUUUCCACUAUGUCUCGUUAUGAGUUAUAUAUGCCGGGAAGCUGGUGAUGACUGAUGAUUAAAAGUAUUUCCCAUUAUCCAGGCGGGUCCUGACAACUCUUAAUCUGACGACAAAAUGUAUCUGCUGGGGGUUGGUAAUUAGAGCUAUGUCCCAUUAUCAAGGUGGUCCUGACAACUCCUACAUAUAAAUAUCCUUAUCUAGGCGGGUCCUGAAGACUCUUGUUGAGGAAGUAUUUGGAUUCGGAAAUGCCACCAACUGUUGUGUUCUAGGCUAAAUCUCAUUUAUCGGGAGGGUCCUGACGACUCUUAACUUAAUCCUACUUCAACAUGAAAGUCAUUUUAUGCCACUUGUUAUCCAUGAUUACUUCUAACCAUAAAGUGAGUCCCAUUUUCCAGGAGGGUCCAGAGGGUUCCAACUUAAAUGCCAAUUCUAAUUGUUGGUUGGUUCUGCAAAUGAUUAUUGUCCAGGAGGGAUUCAGCAACUCUUACUGGGGAAGGUGUUUGUGCUUGCCCAUGAUACGCACAUCUGUUUGGAUUUUAAAUUGUGUUCCAUCUCAACUUCUAUGCUUUCUUUAACUCUUAAUUGUUUCUGUUGGGGUUUUCUACUUAAAGUUUGUCCGAAUGUGCUCUUUGUUGGGGAGGAUAUUUAUGACGGACUGUGUCCCUUUUGAGUUUUCACUAUGUCCCACUUCCAAGUGGGCCUUGAUAUUUUGAUCAUACUUGCCAUGUCGCUGCUUUCCCCUGCGGGUGGCCCCCCCUUAGGCGCAUCUGGAAUUUUUCUGCCCCUGUGUCAACUACAAAGAACCUGUUAGUUUAAUAAGUGGUGGUUAACUUGCUGCAUUCAUGUUAAAAGAGGUCUCCCUACUGUCAUGUUCCAUUGUGUUCCAUUUUCCAUGUUAUUGAUAAGUUUCUUAAGCAUGCUCAGCUGACCCCUCGAACUUUUACGGCUUUACUUUGCUCCUCAUCAUUGUGUUACAUUUCCAACCUCAAUACCAGAAUCCUUGCCCAUUUCUCGAGAUUGCCAGUUCGAUGCAUUACGCUUAGCUGGCCCUCCGACACUUGUAACUUUUCUCGGUUCCUGAUCUUUGUGUUGCAUUAUUGAGCCUUUGCAAAAGCUCAUACAUCCUUUCUUGAGAUUAGCCGCUUAGAUUACAAUUUUUGGCUGAUCCUUGACCUUUGUUUCUUUACCUUGCUCCCCACCAUGUGUUGCAUUUUCCACCUUUUUCCGAAAUUCUUUAUGUCCUUCCCCGAUGAUUGAUGAGUUGACGUAUUAUGCUUGGUCAACCCUUGUGACCUUUUCCAUCUUUGUGUUGUGCUACUGACUAUUUUUUCAGAAACCUUGCAUCCUUCUGAGAUUGCCCGGUCAGUGUGUUAUGCUCGGCUGACCCCAGAACCUUUGUGGUUUUACUUCGCAUCCCCGUUGUCACACCUCCUUUUUUACACGGUUACUCCAAAGGAUAAAAACGUAUAAGGGUGUUUUUCCAACUAAUGUGACAUUAUUCGAAAUGGGAUUAAUUAUUUACUUAAGAGUCGCCACUUGGGAUAGGCUUGGCUUUCGGUGUCCCAAGUCAUCUGUUUAUUUAGAAUCCCAAAUCGAGAAAAAUUUCGACUGUCCGAUUUUAGUCUGCGAACCAGAAAUUCUAAGUAAGGAAUUCUGUUGACCCGAGGGAAGGUGUUUGGAACCCUCGGAUCACGUGGUUCUAGCAUGGUCGCUUGAACUCAUUAUAAGGGGCUGGAAAUCUGAUUUGCUAUACUUGUUUAAACCUAUAGUGCAAUUAUUAACCGCUUUUAAUAUUUGUAUGAAGUUUGCAAUGUCGUUAAAAUAUGUCACGGAUCACGUCACAUAAAUGUGCAUGCAAUUUUAGACAAAUUUUAACUUUAUUGAGAUUUGGAUUUGGGCCGCAUAAAUGCGCACCCGAGCUUAGGAAGGUAUUUUAUUAGUUAAGUCGUGCCUACAGCAUUUACGUCCUAAAAAUUCAUGGAAGGCCAUAAAAUUUGCUAAACGGCACUUCCGAUUUUCUAAAUAUUUUUAUCCGUUUACGGAGCCUCGUGGUGUUUGAUUAGAUGAACGUAGCUCCUUUUAUUUUAUAAGGACAUCCUAAGGCAUAUUAAAUUCUCUAUCAGGUUUUCGCCUAAAUACCCUAUCAUUUAUACAUGAGCCACACAUUUGGAAAAUUAGUACUUGUGUUUUAGCCUCAUUCAUGGCUAUUCAAACAGGCCAGGCCUCAAAUUUUGGCCAGCCCAGAAACAUUCAUCAUAUCUGGCCAUUAAUGGGCCAUUCAACUUGGCCCAUAGUUAAUUUGAACUGAGGAAUCAGUAUGAACAAAUUUCGAUAAUGCUUCUUUUGGUUCGAGUAUAUACAAAAAAUUAAUUAUCUAUAGAGUCAUAAAGAGGAUACUAAUGAUAAUUUUAUAUAAGUUUUUAGAACUAAAUCUGGAAAAAAUGAUUCAUAUACUCGUCUAUCGGAGUAUACGAAUCCAGCUUUCAAAAUUCAAUUAUGAUUAUGAUUACAACAUGUAUAAUAAAUCUAAGAAGAACCGUUGCUAAUGUACUGAAACUCAAAUGAAUUAAAAUUGUACACAGUGUUUUGCUCUUUAAAUGAUUACCAAAGCUAAUAUUUCCUAAAUCCAGUAUUUCUAAGUGCGAAAAGGAACAACAUCUUAACCAGCCAUACCAAUUGUGUUUUACUCCCUCACUAGAAUGUUCUAGGGGGUUACAAACAAUUUUUUUUAGUUCAAAUACCCCUUAUACCCCUAUUUUUUUUCUUGAUUAACCAACCUGAAGUUUUUUAACCUUAGUUAUUCCUUGACCUUGGUCGAUUGUGUUUGGGUUAUGGGCCAAUGUUUGGUUUGGAUUAACAGGUCAAUUGGAUCCAUACAACUAAAUGUCCAAAUAUGGAUUGGCUUAUCAAUUAUUAUAACUUUUGAUCAUGAACAUUUAGGUAUUUUGUAUUAAAACCAAUGGAUCGCUAUCCAGCAGAAAACCAAUCAACUAAUACUCAUUGUACGAAAAUCCUAAUUAAAUCACUCAAUAAAAGCUUGAAGCAGGGAUUAAACACUUAGUUCGUGAACAAAAUUAGAAACCAAUUAAAGGUUCAACCAAACAAAUAAGCCUAGACUAUGGCAAUACCGAAAAUCAAAAAUUACUAUGAAAAUCAAACACAUAGUAGCAUUAACGCCUAACCAAAUUUAUCAGAAUAUCAGGGAAUAAAACAAGUGAAGAUCAUGAUAUGAAGGUCAACAAAACAUAGGAAUAACACUACUGAAGAAUCGACAAACUAGGCUUUAAGAAUCAAGGAGCUAAUAUUAACAGGAUAUCAAAUCAUUCAAGAGACAAAGGGAUUUUAAACUAAUAACAAUAAAAGGCAUAUAACAACUGAACCUAUUUCAUUUGAGAUUGUGGAAAAACAAACAAGAAAUCAAAGCAUCUAACAAUUAACGAAGAUGAAGCAAAUACAUAAAAGCAAGGACAGAGUACUUAGCUUUUCUUUUUACACAUGCAAAUCCGACUUGAGACCAUUUCGCUGGUUCUUGACCACUUUUGUAGAGGUUUUUAACCUCCUAGGACAACUGGCAUGGUAGAUAACAAGUUCAGGAGUUUAGGAAGGGCAUUUAUGAUUCUGAGACCCCAGUGAGGUCUGAGAUCUGAAAUUCAUCAGUGAUUAGUGUUGUUUGGGAGUCAUGAGUAUCAAGUUUGGGGAAUGGGAUGGCCAGGGACUUCCUGGGACGAGUUUGAUCGAAUUCUUAUAGGAUUGAGUUUUACGGUUAAGCUUUAACUUAAUAUUCGAAAUGUUUUGGAUGGAUUCGAAGGGUGUGACAAACAUGAUUGGAAAGAAGAGGUUGAUAUGUUCCAGGGAUGUAAGUUUGGAGGGGUUUGGAGAUGAGUCUCCGAAGAUUGGGGGUUCCCACGACCUUUCUGUGAAGAUUUGAGAUGGUGAGGGGUCGUUUGAAGGGAAUAGACUACAGGAUGGGGAAGAGGAGGUUUUGAUGGUCCUACGGUGUAAAGUUGGGGAGGUUUGGAAAAGGUUCGCCGGAGACGGUGGUUUCGACGACCUUAGUUUUAAUAUUCGAGACGAAGGAGACCUAUUCGAUGAAAACUAGUCACAUGACGUGAAAGAGGAGAUUGUGAUGGUUUGAUGGUGUAAAUCUGCGAAGGUUUGGUCAUUGGCCGCUGCCAUGAGUCGAUUUCUGGCGGCGGCGUUAGGGUGGUAAACGGGUGGUAAAGGGGUGGUCAACGGGUGGUCAAGGGUGGUCAAGGGCGGUGUUACGUCAGAGGUGGACUGUACGAGGAAGAAGAUAAGUCUGUCUCUGAGUGUAUAUAGGUGUUUGGACAUAUGUAUAUGAAUUUUGGGGGAGUUUCAUGGUCGUUGGAUGAUCACAUGAUCAACAGCUGGGAUACCUGGUCUUUAAACGGUCUUGUUUGGGUUAUUCUUUGGUAUGGACUGGAUCAGGGUGGUAUAGGGCUGGGUCUGUGGGUCUUCUAAGAGUUAAAUUAUUUGGGCCACUCAGGUCUAGCCCAAUUCUGGCCAGCCUGAGUGGCUGUGCAUAUUUAUAUGUACUUUUUGUCCUUUUCUUUUUAAUUUAAUUAAUCAAUAAUUUUAUUUAAAAACAAAAUUUUCUAACUAACAAAAAUAAAAAUGUAACAAGUUGAAAUUAAACCAAAUACUACUUGCAUGCAUAUUUUUGUAUUUUAAUUUGUAAAAUAAACCUAUUUAACAAUUAAAUCCUAAACAAUUUAAACAUCCAUUAAUGAACACGCUUUGGCACACGUAAUUGAACUAAGUCCUAAAUAAAAUAGAAAAAGGGAAAAUAAUAAACUUUGGGAUCCUAUAGGAGUCGUUUCAGCCGGAUAAAAAUCAUAUGCUCACAGUUGUCCCUCUUUGCGCGGGAACACGAAGAGUUUUCGUGCAAAGAUAAGGGAGAAAAUAUGAGAGAUUUUCGUCCAAUUGAAUACUCCAUGAGAAGCAUUUUGAAAAACUCCUGACCGAACAUUGCUUCAAAGAUUGCCUACAUAUCCUUGGCAGUAAAGGAAUCAGGUCAGUGCUGUUCUAGAUAUUUUGGUAGCUGGGAUUAACUGAAAACUGUGAUUGGAUGUUGUUGCUGCUGUUUCUGUUUGCUAAGCUCCUUAUUACACCAAAGAAAAUCAAAAGCUAAGCAAGCUAAGCCAAACAACUAUGAGCUACAAGAUUCCUACCUAUGAGUCUCUUGAAGCUUCAUCUUGAGUCUUGGCUAGCCCUUGUAGCAAACUAUGAUCUGAAUCUUGAUGAUCAUUUGCUGCCAAUACUGGUUCAUUCUUCAUUUUGAGAUAAAGUAGGACAUACGGAGUUUGUUUCUUCAAUUAUAUUUUGAGCAGUACGUGUAUUUGUCCGCUUCAUCACUUUGAGUUCACUUCUUUUGUCUCUUUUUCUUUUCUUCUGUUCUGAAUUGACACUCAUGCUUUCAAUUAUUCCAAAUCUUGUGCCUUGAGGCGAAACCUGCUCAGACAGCAACACAAACAAACGAACAAAAUUUUCUGCCCCAGUUUUCAAUGGAAAAUUUUGUGUGUUAUUUGCAACACACAUCUAUGCUACUCUUUAUUAAAAACAAUAAAAAUCCAAAUUGUGUAUCCCUUGGAAAAAUCGCCAGGUUAUGCUGGGAAAGAGAAAGGGUUCCUACUGGGGAUAAGAUGAGAAUCCACGGGUUAUGCCGGGACAGAAAUAAAAGAGGUCUCUAUGUGGAUGGAAAGAAAAGAUCUGUGGGUUAUGCCAGGAUAGGAAAGUUUCUGCUAUGGAUGGAAGGAGAGUCUUAGGUUGUGAAGAAAUUCCCAUGCUUUUAAUCCUUCCGAAUCUUGUGCCUUAAGGUGAAACCUAUUCAGACAACAACACAAACAACCGAAUGAAAUUUUUCUUCCCCAGUUUUCACUAGAAAAUUUUGUGAGUUAUUUGCAACGCACUUCUAUGCUACUCUUGGUUGAAAACAAAAAUUAAAUUGGAAUUGUGUAUCUCUUGAAAAUAUCGCCAGGUUAUGCUGGGAAAGAUAAAGGGUUCCUGUUAUGGAUAAGAUGAGAAUCCACGGGUUAUGCCGGGAUAGGAAUGAAAAGGGGUCUCUAUGGGGAUGGAAAGAAAAGAUCCACGGGAUAUGCCGGGAUAGGAAAGUUCCUGCAAAGGAUGGGUUAUGAAGAAAUUCAUGGGUUAUCCAGGGAAUCCACGGGUUACGGCGGGAUGAAUGAAAAUCCCAGGUUAUGCUAAGGAGAUCCGCGGGUUAUGCCGGGAUGAAUGAAAAAAUCCUGGUUUGCUGGGGAAACCACAGGUUAUGCCGGGAUAAAUGGAAAAUCCUAGGUUAUGCUAGGGAAAUCCACGGGUUAUGCCGGAAUGAAUGAAAAGUCUUAGGUUAUUCUAGAGAGAUCCGCGCUUAUGCCGGGAUGGAUGAAAAAAUCCUAGGCUAUGCAAGGGAGAUCCGCGGGUUAUGCCGGGAUGAAUGCAAAAUCCUAGGUUAGGCUAGGGAGAUUUGCAGGUUAUGUCGGGAUGAAUGAAAAUCCUAGGUUAUGCUAGGGAAAUUCGUGGGUUAUGCCGGGAUGAAUGAAAAAUUCUAGGUUAUGCUAGGUAGAUCCGCUGGUUAUGCUGGGAUGAAUGAAAAAAUCAUAGGUUAUUCUAGGGGAAUCCACGGGUUAUGCCGGGAUGAAUGAAAAAUAUCCUAGGUUAUGCUAGGGAAAUCCGCAUAUUAUGUCGGGAUUGGAAGGAGAUCAUGGGUUAUGCCAGGGGAAUCUGCGGGUUAUGCCAGGACGAAUAAAAAUAUCCUAUGUUAUGCUAGGGAGAUCAGUGGGUUAUGCUAGGGAAAAACACGGGUUAUUCCAGGAUGAAUGAAAAAAUCGUAGGUUAUGCUAGGGAAAUCAACGGAUUAUGCCGGGAUGAAUGAAAAAUAUCCUAGGUUAUGAUAGGGAAAUCCGCGUGUUAUGUCGCGAUUGGAAGGAGAUCUUAGGUUAUUCUAGGGGAAUCCACGGGUUAUGCCAGGAUGAAUAAAAGUAUCCUAGGUUAUGCUAGGGAGAUCCGCGGGUUGUGUCGGGAUGAAUGAAAAAUCCUAGGUUAUGCUAGGAAAUCCACGGGUUAUGCCGAGAUGAAUGAAAAAUCCUAGGUUAUGCUAGGGAAAUACGAGGGUUAUGCCAGGAUGAAUGAAAAAACCCUAGGUUAUUCUUGGGAAAUCCACUGGUUAUACCGGGACGAAUGAAAAAUAUCCUAGGUUAUGCUAGGGAAAUCCACGGGUAAUUCCGGGAUUGGAAAGAGAUCCUGGGUUAUGCUAGGGGAAUCUGCAGGUUAUGCCAGGAUGAAUACAAAUAUCCUAGGUUAUGCUACAGAGAUCUAUGGGUUAUGCCAGGAUGAAUGCAAAAUCCUAGGCUAUGCUAUGGAAAUCAACGGUUUAUGCUGGGAUGAAUGAAAAUCCUAGGUUAUCCUAGGGAAAAACUCGGUUUUGCUGGGAUGAAUGAAAAAAUCUUUGCUUAUGCCAGAUAAAUCCACGGGUUAUGCCGGGAUGAAUGAAAAAAUCCUAGGUUAUGCUAGGGGAAUCCACGGGUUAGGUCGGGAUGAAUAAAUAAUAUCCUUGGUUAUGCUAGGGAAUAACCGCGGGUUAUGCCGGGAUUGGAAGGAAAUCCUGGGUUAUGCCAGGCGAAUCCCCGGGUUAUACCGGGAUGAAUAAAAAUAUCCUAGGUUAUGCUAGGGAGAUCCGCGGGUUGUGCCAGGAUGAAUGAAAAAUCCUAGGUUAUGCUAGGGAAAUGCACGGGUUAUGCCGGGAUGAAUGAAAAUAUCCUAGGUUAUGCUAGGGAGAUCUGCGGGUUAUGCCGGGAUGAAUGAAAAAAUCCUAGGUUAUGCUUGGGGAAUCCACGGGUUAUGCCGUAAUGAACGAAAAUAUCGUAGGUUACGCUGGGAAAAUGUGCGGGUUAUGCCAGCAUUGGAAGGAGAUCCUGGGUUAUGACAGGGGAAUCCACAGGUUAUGCCGGGAUGAAUAAAAUUAUCCUAGGUUAUGAUAGGGAAGAUGCAAGGCAGUAGAGGGGCUUAGAGAUCCUUUCGACUAUGCUGGGGAUAAAGAAGGAAAGAAACAACCCUUAGGUUAUGCUAAGUGUAGGGGAGUAUUAACUCCUAGACUAUGCUGGGGACUAGGGAGUGUAGGGAGGGAAUCCCGACGUUAUGCUGAGGAUGUGGAAGGAAACUUCCGGGUUAUAUCGGGAUGUGAAGGAAGGAGACUUCUUAGUUUUUUUUGGAGGGGGUGGAAUGCAAUUCUUGGGUCAUGACUAGGGAAUCCACAAACGGUUACAUAGGGAAACUAGGGAUUUGAAUCCCGUGCUAUCAUUCUUAUUUAUGAAAUUGCAGGAAAAUGAAAAGAAAAUCCCUUUUGUCAUUGGCGCAACACCAUCUUUGGUCCUUGUGCUCGGCCUUUGGUUGUGUUUUCUUUAUGUUCCCUUUGCUUUUCUAGGUUGCACCUGCAUCUAUUUUAGUUUAGAAUCAAAACAAACUGUUAGUUUGAACAGUAAUUGGUUUUGCGGCCUUGUCACGCUUGAUUUCAAAUUCCAUUGUGUUCAAAAGUGAACCCUUGACCUUCAAUCCUUGCUUUAAUUGGCUAGGGUGUCCUCAUUUCAGAUUGGCCUUUGUUUCUCGGGCCUUGGGUUGUGAGUUUUUUUCGGCCUUUGAUUUUGGAUUGCUUUUGGGGCUUUUGAUAAGAAUCAACAUCCUGUUUGGUUUAAAACCCCUCCGAUUUUUCUUCACUUUCAUGCCUUUCUGACUUUGACUUUCCAUUCUCUUACUUCCUUACUUUUGAGACAUUAACUGUCAUGAUCAAACGGGAUCGGCUAAGCGCGCAUGGCGAUGUCGAGCGUUCACUUAAUUCUUGUCAAGAGAAACUCACGAGGCCGGCCCUACUACCUUUCUUAAGGAAUGGUCAGGACAUUAAAAUUAAAGUGGAAAUGAGUGAAGUAUAAAUUAAGAGAGGCAUGUUCUUUUGAGGAAAAAGAGGGAACUUAUCUGGAAACAUAAGUCGGCUAUAAAUGGUAACGACAUGCUUCUUGGACUGGAUACCCGGCCCAAAUCCACUUCCGCUUUCUGACUUCAACUUUACCAACACCAAAGAAACUUAUUCAGGCCUGGGCAGCAAUGUUUCCUCUUUUCAGCCGACGGAGACCUUUUUGGGUUUUCGCCAAUAGGCCUCUCUAAUUUCUCUUCUCAUGUCGCCCGCUAGCGCUCUUUGCGAGUUUUCGCUAAACGGACUCUCUCAUUUUGUUUUUCUCUGCUCAUCGUCGCCUUAUGGUGCACGUAGUUUUUCACCGGUAAGACUCUCUCAUUUUAUUUCUCUCACGAAUUUGACUGGUGCCGAACCCCCAAUAAUGGUAUUUCCCCCCCAGGGAUAUAUAACUUUAUAACCGAUCGAAUAGAUUUGUGACAAAACCUAUACAUUUCUGCCCAAGUCAUCAUAUAUGUGAGUGAAUGGGGUUUUUAUUUUGGUAUGAUUGAACCUCAGGGAGAGGCUUCCUACGUAUCUUUUCGGAAUCAAGUCAGACGUAGUUCAGGAAAUUUUCCUAAACUAAUUUUGUCUGUAUUCUUCUUUCUUUUCUUUUCUUUUUUUUUUUGGCAUUUUUCUUUUCUCUUCUUUUGCAUUUUCAACUUUUUUUUUCAAUUUCUUCUUUUCAUUUUUCUCUCUCUCUCUUUUUUAUUUUUUUGUUUUUUAUUUUAUUUAAAUUUUCUUCUCAUGGUUAAAAAGAGAGAGGGGAUAGCGGGAGAGAAAAGUCCUUGUCAUUUCAAUCCACCGGGGUUAUUACUGUAGGGGGUUCAAACAUAAUACCUCUUUACUGCGUCUGCGUUUACCGCUUCCUCGGGCUCAUCUCCUUCAACGUCGCCCAGGUACAAUGCUACUCUAUGCAAUAUCAUUCUGAUUAUGUAUGGGCCUUUCCAAUUUGGAGCGAAUUUUCCUUUAGCUUCUUGAUGAUGGGGAAGUAUCCGUCUCAAAACCAUCUCCUGAACUUCGAAAUUCCUGGGGUGCACUUUCUUGUUGUAGGCACGGGCCAUUCUUUGUUGGUACAACUGCUCGUGGCAUACCGCCGCCAUUCAUUUUUCAUCGAUUAAUGCCAACUGCUCCAACCGGGUUUUCACCAAUUCACUAUCCUAAAUUUCUGCUUCGACAAUCACUCAGAGCGAAGGGAUUUCUACCUCUGUUGGUAUGACAGCUUCAGUUCCAUAGACCAGCAAAUAGGGGGUUGCUCCUACCGAUAUAAGUAUUGUGGUACGAUAUCCCAUCAGUGCGAAAGGUAGCUUUUCGUGCCAUUUCGUGGAGCUUCGAAUCAUUUUCCUCAAGAUCAUCUUGAUGUUCUUGUUGGUUUCUCCGACCGCACCAUUAGCUUUAGGCUGGUAGGGAGUGGAGUUUCUAUGUGUUAUCUUGAAUUGUUCACAUAUCUCUCCCAUCAUCCGACUGUUUAGAUUAGUUGCAUUGUCAGUAAUGAUGGUAGCGAGAAUCCCGAAGUGGCAAAUAUGUUGGAAUGCACAAAAUGCACUACCGCUUUCUUGGUAACAGACUUGAGGGUGAUGGCCUCGACCCAUUUUGUGAAAUAAUCAAUGGCGACCAAUAUAAAUUUUUGCCUAUUUAAGGCCUUUGGCUCGAUCGGCCCAAUGACGUCCAUUCCCCAGGAGACAAAUGGCCAGGGUGCUGUGUUAGGAUGCAGUUCAUUUGGUGGUGCAUGAAUCAGAUCACUCUGCACCUGGCACUGAUGACAUUUUCACACAAAGCUGAAACAAUCCUUUUCCAUGGUCAUCCAAUAAUAAUCGGCUCGGAGAGUAUCUUCUUUGGCAAUACAUAGCCUUUCACAUGGGGCCCACAUAUUCCUGCAUGUACUACGUGCAUAAUUCUCCCCGCUUCUUCGGCAUCCACACAUAUCAAAAAAUUAAGGUCUGGAGUCCUUUUGUACAGAGUGUCACUACUUAAGAAGAAAUUGCUCGCAUGCCGUCGGAAUGCUCAGGUGCCCAUUUGAGGUUUUAGGCUCGAUGGGGCCAAUGACGUUCAUACGCCAGGCGACAAAUGGCCAAGGUGCUGACAUAGGGUGCAGUUCAUUUGGUGGUGCAUGAAUCAAAUCACCAUGCACGAGGCAUUGAUGACAUUUUUGGACAAAGCUGAAGCAAUCUUUCUCCGUGGUCAUCCAAUAAUAGCUAGCUCUGAGUAUCUCUUUUGCCAGUACAUAGACAUUCAUAUGGGGCCCACACACGCCUGUAUGUAAUUAAAGCAUAUUUCUCCCGUCUUCUUCGGCAUCCACACAUCUCAACAAAUUAAGAUCUUGAGUCCUUUUAUACAAAGUGUCACCACUUAGGAAGAAAUUGCUUGCAUGUCGUCGAAUGGUUUUCUUUUGUUCUCCGGUGGCUUGCUCAUGGUACUCCUAUGUUUUUAGGAACCUUAAGAUUUCAUAAUACCAAGGUGUGGGCUAGGCUCUACUUCAGUAGCACUACAAUACCCAUGUCUUUCUUUGAUUUGAAUUUGUAAAGGAUCAACAUAGGCAUUCCCAAGGAAUGGCAACAUGGAAGCCAAGGUUGCAAGUGCAUCUGCUAACUCAUUGUGGCAAUGAGGAAUGUACCUGAACUGUCCCAACCUGAACCAUUUGCUGAGGUGCUUGACAUGCUGUCUGUACGGGAGGAGCUUAAUGUCCCUUGUCUUCUAUUCUCCUUGAGCUUGUCGGAUAAUUAGAUCGGAAUCUCCCAUGAUUAGCAACUCUUCAACAUCUUGGUUUAAUAUCCAUUUUCAUGCCCAUAAAGCAAGCCUCAUAUUCAACUGUACUGUUGGUGCAGAAGAACUGGAGUCUGGCCAUAGCUGGAUAAAGCUGGCAUGUGGCUGUGAUUAAGAUCGCUCCAAUCCAUACGCCCUUUGCGUUUGCCGCUCCGUCGAAGAGCAUUUUCAAGACGGGGGUGUACUCAACUACUAUUUCCAGUGAGUUCACUUCUUCAUCAGGGAAGUAGGCAUUUAACGGUUGAUACUCCUCAUCAAUGGGGUUAUCUGCCAAAUGAUCUAUCAAUGCUUGAGCUUUCAUCACAGUACGAGUGGCAUAAACAAUGUCGAACUCAGUGAGCAAGAUCUGCCAUUUGGCCAGUCGUCCUGUGGGCAUUGGUUUUUGGAAUAUGAACCUUAGUGGAUCCAGCUUGGUUAUGAGGUACGUGGUAGGAGCUUGCAGAUAAUGCCUUAGCUUCUGAGCCACCCAUGUCAAGGCGCAACAAGUACUUUCUAACAAUGUAUACUUGACCUCGUAGCUGGUAUACUUUUUGCUGAGAUAAUAGAUGGCCUGCUCUUUCUGUCCCGUCGCAUAAUGCUGCCCGAGAAUACAAUCGAAAUAGCCUUCCAAGAGCGUCAGAUAGAGAAACAGUGGCCUUCCUUAUUCUGGCGGAACUAAAACUGGUGGAUUGGACAAGUAUUUCUUGAUUCUAUCAAAAGCUUCCUGACACUCGAAUGUCCACUUUACUGCCGCAUGCUUCUUUAGUAGCUUGAAUAUAGGCUCACAUGUUGAAGUCAACUAGUAGAUGAAUCGGCUGAUGUAACUCAGUCUUCCCAAUAGACUUAUUACAUCCUUUUUGGUCUUUCGCAGGGGCAGCUCCCCAAUGGAUUUGAUCUUCGUUGGAUCCAUUUUGAUGCCUCUCCGGCUGAUGAUGAACCCCAGAAGUUUGCCCGACGGAACUCCAAAUGCGCAUUUUGCUGGAUUUAGUUUCAAAUUAUAUUUGUAGAGCCUUUCGAUGAAUUUCCUCAGAUCCUUUACAUGAUCGCCUUGUCUCUUGGAUUUGAUAAUCACUUCAUCCACGUACACUUCGAUUUCUCGAUGCAUCAUAUCGUGUUAAAUGGUUGUCAUAGCCCUCAUGUAUGCCGCCCCCGCAUUUUAAAAUCCAAAAGGCAUAACUCUAUAACAAUAUGUUCCCCAAGGUGUGGCAAAGUCGAUUUUCUCAGCAUUUUCCUCGUCCAUCAACACUUGGUGGUAUCCUGCAUAGAAAUCUACGAAGAUUUUGAUCUCAUGCUUGGCAUACUUAUCGACAAGGAUGUGGAUGUUGGGCAGAGGGAACUUAUCCUUGAAACUCGCCUUUUUCAAGUCUCAAUAAUCCAUACACACUCGAGUUUUCCCGUCCUUCUUUGGUACUGGGACCACAUUGGCCAGCCAUGUGAUGUACCGAACUACCCAAAUUACACAUGUUUCUAGCUGUUUUGUAAUCUCCUAUUUGAUUUUUUCGCUGACAUCAGGCUUGAACUUUCUUUGCAUUUGUUGGACUGGGGGUAUUCAGGGUACGUGCGCAACUUAUUAACCACCAAAUCCAUACGCAAGCCAGGAAUGUCGUCAUAGGACCACACAAAUACAUCUUUGAAUUCCUACAGGAGUUGAACCAAUGAAUCUCGUAUUUCUAUAUUCACGUAGAUACUUAUUUUAGUUUCUUUGAUUUCAUUGGAAUUGCCCAAGUGAAUCGGUCCAGUAUCAUUUAAGUUAGGCUUAGGUUUAUUUUCAAAGUGUUCCAACUCUCGGUUGAUUUCCCUAAAAGCCUCUUCUUCAUCGUAUUCUAGUUCUUGGUUCAUUAUUUCACAGAUGGGCAGAAAGUUUGGGUCACAGCACGAAGUGCGCGAGUAUGUGUUUUAUAUAAAGCCGCAUUAUUGGGACUGAAAGAAAAGAUGACAAAUAAAGAAAGACAAAUAUUAGUAUCAUUAAAGUUUGGCUUAGGUUUGUUUUCAAAGUGCUCCAACUCUCGGUUGAUUUCCCUAAAAUCCUCUUCUUGAUCGUAUUCCGGUUCUUGGUUCAUUAUUUCACAAAUGGGCAGCAAGUUUGGGUCAUGGCAUGAAGUCUGCGAGCAUGUCAUUUUUUUAAAGCUCCAUUAUUGGGAGUGAAAGGAAAGAUGAAAAAUGAAGAAAGCCAAAAUUAGAAAAAGGCAAAGAGGUGUGAAUGACAAAAAAUUGAUUUUAUUGCUUUGAUCAUAUAAGAUAACAGGGUUUACAAUUGAGAUUUAAAGUACUAAAGGAAAACAAACAACUGAGCUACACCCUGAAAUAGCUUGUGAUGUGGGAAGAGGUAGCAAGGCGAGACUUCCGGGUCUCCCGCCUGACCGUAAAAGGUGUGGCCUUCUAGUUUUGAAGUUUGGCAUCUGGUCCCAUAUAAAGCACUUCAGCGGAGCUUGAACCUUCUCCCGGUUGGACCAUGUUUACUUCAUAGAGCAAUUCCCUCAUAGCACCAGAGAUCUCAUCAAUUUCUUCUACCGUGAAGGUUUCUUCUUCCUCCUUCUCACUGUACUUUGGUUUUACUAAGGUUUCGUAUAAGUGGGGUAGGGUUUGUGGUAAGACCCAUCCCUGGCACUUUCUGCAAUUGGUCCAGGUGAUAUCUUCGGAGGUCGGAUGAAAUCCCAGUCCAAAGAACGUUUCUGCGACAGGCAAGGCGACCAGCUCGGUUAUGCCUUAUAGGGAGCUUCUGAGUCCCUUGCCUGGUUAGAAACCUUGACGCUUCAUUUUCUUCGCUAACAUAUUUGAAGUAUUUGACAGGAAAGGCUGGGGCAGCGGCUUGCCCUCUUCAUGUUGGUCGGUUACUACAACUUCAAAAGCUUGGUAGAUUAUGUGUUCAGUCCCUUCCUUGGCUUCUAGACAAGGAACAUAGGGGUCUCGAUAAAUCGAUUGUUCGUCCUCUCCACGAACUACGAUCUCCUGGUUUUCAUGCUCAAAUUUCAGCAUUUGGUGCAGGGUAGAAGGCACUGCCCCUGCUGCAUGAAUCCACGGUCUUCCCAGGAGGUAAUAAUAGGAGUUGUCCAUGUCCAACACCUGGAAUGUUACUUCGAAGUCGACUGGACUAAUAGAAAUACUCAGAUAUUAAAGAAAUACUCAGAUAUACCGUUGUUAAAGAGGAUUCAUGCGAGACCAAGUUCCUUGUCCUCAAAGAUCAUUCCGAUGACCGGCCCGUUGUUGUGAACCGGUAAUGGAUUAUCAGUUAAAUUUGGGACCUCUUCAUCCCUUAGUACUAUCUUCUUUUGGUCAAUAAAAUCUUCAACUGCUCGUUUUAAGGUCUAAUAAAUUUUCAGUGUCAUGUCCCUCAUCCCCACUGUGGUAAGCACAACGCACGCCCCUUUGGUAAGAAGGUGAUUCGGGAUUCUGUCUAUUUGGGGGUAUAGGCUGGAGGAGACAUGUGUGGACCAACUUUGGGAACAUGCUGGUGUUGGAUUCUCCUAUUAGGGUGAAGUUCUGUCCCGUGGGUGGAUCCCUGGGACGAUAAUUAUUUUGCUGAGGGCGGGGAUUGUAAUGAUUCUGAGGAAGUUGAUUUCUUAGAGCUUGAUUUCUAUUAUUGUGUUGUUGAGGUCGGGCAAAGAGCUGAGCGUUCCUAUCUGCGUAGGGUUGAGGGAAAUAAUGCAUGUCUCGGUGAGGAUAGUAAUUUGAGGUGCAUGCAUGUGGGUGUGCUGUUUUCUCAUCCCGGAGGAUGCCAUGGAUGCUUCCUCUUUCUUCUUGUUCCUUCGAAUUCCUCCCGCCCCUCCUUAUAUGAUCUGGGAGGUUGCAUUUAUGGCAUAUUGACUUCGAAUCCUCCCUAUUUUGAGGCCAUUCUCUACCAUCUCCCCACUCUUUAUUGCUUCUGCGAAUGGAUUUCCCAUUGCGGACAUCAUGUUAUGAAAAUAGUCUUCCUCUUAUGGUUGCAGAAAGACGGUGACCAUCUCUCUUUCGUCCAUUGGAGGCUUCAAUAUUGAUGCUUGCUCUCGCUAAUUAAUAGUUUAUUCUCUGAAGCUUUCAGCAGGUUUCAUCUUCAAGCUGGCUAGGGAAUUCCAAUCCGGGGCGAUGUCGAUGUUGUACUGGAAUUGUCUUACAAAGUACUAGGUGAGGUCAUCCUACAUGUGCCAUCGGGUAAUGUCUUGAUCUAUGUACCAUUCGGAUGCAAUACCCACUAAGCUCUCCCCAAAGUACGCCAUCAAGAGUUCUUCCUUUCCGCCGGCUCCAUGUAGUUUAUUGCAAUACUUCUUCAAAUGGGCGAUAGGGUCGCCGUGGUCAUCGUAUUUUUCGAAUUUCGAAAUCUUAAACCCCAAGAGAACAUUUACAUGGGUGAACAUGCAUAGGUCUGAGUAAGAUACACUUUUAUGUACACUUAGUCCUUGCAUGUUCUUUAGACAUUGUUCAAGACUUUUCUUUCUCCUUGUGAUUUCAUCUUGCUCGGGCAUUUUGGAAGUUUUGUCUUGUACGGGGGUAAAUUGAUGUGCUGGCUGAGGGUAGUUGUAUGUAGGGUACGGGGGAGGCUCAUUUUGGUAGUUAGGAUUUUGGAACGUAAAGGCUGUAGGGUAAAACAUGGGCCUCGGUACCGCAGGCUGUGUGGUAGCUGCGCACGGAGGAGCCGUAAAGAUGUUGGGAACUUGCCCAGAUGUAGACAUCGGAGGGCGGGUUUCCCAAGGCGCCCCAAAAAAAUUGGUUGACAUGGUGGGCUGCCCAGGAGAAUACUAGGGUGACUGAUAGGGAUGGUGGAGGUACCCCCUGAUAGGGAUGGUGGAGGUACCCAGAAGCGAGGGGUUUUGUAGCAGUUUAUAUAAUUCAGAUAAUAUCGAAGCGGUAAAAUGUUUGGCAUUUAGCACAAAACAGGUAAGCAAAUUAGAAUAAGCCAAAUAUAAGAGUAAUUGUAUGCUCGAAUUCUUGAACCUUCAACCAAAGAUUCUUGGUUCGUUCCCCAGCAGAGUCGCAAGAGCUGUCACACCUCCUUUUUUACAUGGUUACCCCGAAGGAUAAAAAUGUAUAAAGGAGUUUUUCCAAUUAAUGUGACAUUAUUCGAAAUGGUAUUAAUUAUUUAUUUAAGAAUCACCACUUGGGAUAGGUUUGGCUUUUGGUGUCCCAAGUCACCGAUUUAUUUAGAAUCCCAAAUCGAGGAAAAUUUAGACUGCCCGAUUGGAGUCUGCGAACCAGAAAUUCUAAGUAAGAAAUUCUCUUUACCCGAUGGAAGGUGUUUGGAGCCCUCAGAUCCCGUAGUUCUAGCAUAGUCGCUUAAACUCAUUAUAAAUGGCUGGAGAUCUGAUUUGCUAUACCUGCUUAAACCUAUAAUGCAAUUAUUAAUCGCUUUUAAUAUUUUUAGGAAGUUUGCAAUGUCGUUAAAAUACGUCGCAGAUCACGUCACAUAAAUGCGCAUGCAAAUUUAGACAUAUUCUAACUUCAUUGAGAUUUUGAUUUGGGUCGCAUAAGUGCGCACCCGAGCUUAGGAAGGUAUUUUAUUAGAUAAUUUGUGCCUACAGCAGCUACGUCCUCAAAAUGCAUGGAAGGCCGUGAAAUUUGCUAAACGACACUUCCAAUUUUUUAAAUAUUUUUAUCCAUUUACGGAGCCUCGUGGUGUUUGAUUACAUGAACGCAACUCCUUUAUUUUAUAAGGACAUCCUUAGGCGUAUUAAAUUCUCUAUCAGGUUUGCGCCUAAAUACCCUAAUCAUUUAUACAUGAGCCACACAUUUGGAAAAUUAGUACUUGUGUUUCAGCCUCAGUCAUGGCUAAUCACACAUGCCAGGCCUCAAAUUUUGGCCAACCCAUAAACAUUCAUCAUAUCUGGCCAUUACUGGGCCUUUCAACUAGGCCCAUAGUUAAUUGAACUGAGGUAUCCAUAUAAACAAAUUUCGAUAAUGCUUCUUUUGGUUUGAGUUUAUACACAAAAUUAAUUAUCUGCACAGUCAUAAAGAGGAUACUAAUGAUCAUUUUAUAUCAACUUUCACAACUAAAUCUGGACUAAAUGAUUCAUAUACUCGUCAGUCGAAGUAUACGAAUCCAGCAUUGAAAAUUCAAUUAUGAUUCUGAUUACAACAUGUUAAAUAAAUCUGAGAAGAAUCAUUGCUAAUGUACUGAAACUUAAAUGAAUUAAAAUGUUACACAGUGUUUUAAUCUUUAAAUGAUUACCAAAACUGGUAUUUCCUAAAUCCAGUAUUUCUAAGUGUGAAAAGGAACAACAUCUGAACCAGCCCUGCCAAUAGUUAAACUUAGUAUCAAGUAUACAUGUAAAAGAAAAACUUAGUCAAAUAUCCAACUAUUACAUGUUGAAUCAGUCUCAAAUGUCCAGUUAUUACAAAAAUGAAGUAGUUCAAACAUCUAAGUACAACAAGAUAAUUAUCUUAUCAUUACAUAUAUUCAACUAGAGACGGGGAAAAUAGGGUGAAUAUUCAAAAAGAAAAAUAACAAACGUAAUCUUCACAUUUAGAAAUACAUUGCACUUGAACUUCAUAUAUCAAUGAAAAUCGAAUGUACCUAUAAUGCAGCAGAAAGCAGAAGCCUAUGAGUAAAUGCAAUGAGUCAGCCAAGAAAAACAACAAACCAAUCGAACAGUAUACCUAGGGUUUCAACAGAAUUUUGAGGCAUUUAAAAAAUCAUAAAGGAAUAAGAAUUAGAACUGAUUGUUUAUUACUGAUAUAGGAAGAAUAUGUAUUUUUCUCUAUAGAAUUCAAAAGAAAGGUUCUGGAUCCCUUUAAAAAAUGCUUAGAUGGUUUCCUUUAUAGUGGAGACUUAGGGCAUAAUUUUUCCUUGUUUUUUCCUUUUAGUCCCUGAGUUAGAUCUCAGCUUUUCGUAAAUGAUCACACAUUUCCUGACUUGUGCCUCAAGUAUAAGGUAUAAAUUAUGUUUUACUCCCUCACUAGAAUGUUCUAGGGGGUUACUAUCAGAUUAUUAAAGUUCAAAUACCCCUUAUACCCCUAUUGCUUUUCCUGAUAACCAACCUGAAGUUAAACCUUAGUUAUUCCUUGACCUUGGUCUAUUGUGUUUGGUUUAUGGGCCAAGGUUUGGUUUGGAUUAACAGGUCCAUUGGAUCCAUACAACUUAGUGUCCUAAUAUGGAUUGUCUUAUCAAUUAUUAUAACUUUGGAUCAUAAAUAUUCAUGUGUUUUGUAUUAAAACCAAAGGAUCACUAUCAACCAAAAACCAAUAAACUAAUACUCAUUAUAAGAAAAUCCUAAUUAAAUCACUCAAUAAAAGCUUGAAGCAGGAUUGAACACUUAGUUUAUGAACAAAAUUAGGAACCAAUUAUAGGUUCAACCAAACAAAUCAGCCUAGACUAUGCUAGUACUGAAGACAAAAAAUUACUAUGAAAAUCAAACACAUAGUAGCAUAAACGCCUAACCAAAAUAAUCAGAAUAUCAGGGAAUAAAACAAGUGAAGAUCAUGAGAUGAAGGUCAACAAAUCAUAAGAAUCACAUUACUGAAGAAUAGACAAUCUAGGCUUUCAGAAUCAAGGAGCUAAUAUUAACAAGAUAUCAAAUUAUUCAAGAGACGAAGGGAUUUCAAACUAAUAACAACCAAAGGCAUAUAAGUACUGAACCCUAUUUCAUGAGAUUUUCGAAAAACAAACAAGAAAUCAAAGCAUCUAGCAAUUAACAAAGAUGGAGCAAAUAUAUACAAGCAAGCACAGAGUACUUAGCUUUUUUUUUACACACGCAAAACCGACUUGAGACCAUUUCGUUGGUUCUUGACCUCUUUUGUAGAGGUUUUUAACCUCCUAGGACAACUAGCAUUGUGGAUAACAAGUUCAGGAGUUCAGGAAAGGCAUUUAUGAUUCUGAGCGUUGUGAGGUGUCAAAUCUGAAUUUCUUCAGUGAUUGGUAUUGUUUGGGAGUCAUGGGUAUCAUGGUUGAGGAAGGGGAUGGCCAGCGUUUUCCUGGGACGAGUUUGGCCAAAUUCCGACAAGAUUGAGUUUUAGGGUUAAUUUUUAACUUAAUAUUCAAAACAUUUUGGAUGGAUUCGAAAGGUGUGACACACAUGAUUGGAAAGAAGAGGUUGAGUUGUUUCAGGGGUGUAAAUUUGGAGGGGUUUGGAGUUGAGUCACCGGAGAUGGGGGGUUCCGACGACCUUUCUGUGAAGAUUUGAGACGAUGGGGGGUUAUUUGAAGGGAGUGGAAUGCAGGACAGGGAAGGGGAGGUCCUGGUGGUCCUAUGGUGUAAAAUUGGGGAGGUUUGGAACAAGGUCGCCGGAGAUGGUUGUUCCGACGAGGGAAGGGAAGUUUUGAUGGUCCUACAGUGUAAAUUUUGGGAGGUUUGGAAAAGGGUCGCCAGAGCCGGUGGUUCCAAUGACCUUACUUUGAAUAUUCGAGACGGAGGAGAACUAUUUGACGGAAACUAGUCAUAGGACAGGAAAGAGGAUAUUGUGAUGGCUUGAUGGUGUAAAUCUGGGGAGGUUUGGUGACCGCCUGCCGCCGUGAGGCAAUUUCCGACGGAGGCAUUAGGGUGUUCAAGGGGUGGUCAAGGGUAGUCAAGGGCGAUGUUACGUUGGAGUUGGACUGUACGAGGAAGAAGAUAAGUCUGUCUCUGGGUGUAUAGAGGUGUUUGGACAUAUGUAUAUGAAUUUUGGGGGGGGGGGUUUCAUGGUCGUUGGAUGAUCACAUGAUCAAUGGCUGGGAUACCUGAUCUUUAAACGGUGUUGUUUGGGUUCGUCUUUUGUGUGGACUGGAUCAGGGUGGUGUUGGGAUGGGUCUGUGGGUCUUUUCACGGUUAAAUUGUUUGGGCAACUCAGGUCUGGCCCAAUUAUGGCCAUCCUGAGUUGUUGUGCAUAUGUAUAUGUACUUUUUGUCCUUUUCUUUUUAUUUUAACUAAUCCUUAAUUUUAUUUAAAAACAAAAUUUCUAAUUAACACAAAUAAAAAUGCAACACGUUGAAAUUAAACCUAAUAUAAUUAAAAUUCCAGAAAUACUACUUGCACACGUAUUUUAAUUUGUAAA